rnacentral:lncRNA from 1 species
AUGCUCUAACUAUAUUCAAAAGAUAACUAUUAACAGAAUUUCCAAGAACAGUGGCUAAGAAGUGUACCUGAGGGUUGGUUAGGAUCUUUACGGCCUUGUGCAGUGAUGGUAUUCUUUUGGUUAGGGAGUCCUCUCCUAGCCAAAAUGUGACAGUUUUGAAACACAACGGUCCCAUCCCCAAAUAUAAAAUCUACCGUUCCAGUGAUGGUGCACUCUCGGUAGAACUGACGCAUGGUGUGCGUGUAAAGUGUAUCUUGAAAACCUCUCAUGGCACAUCUGUAGAACACUGAGAGGUCAGAGUCCGACCUUAGGGCUACGGCUUGAUGCUUCUCUGGCCCCGCUGUGUUCUGAAAGGUUAUAUCUCUUGCUAAGAAUCCCUUUCCGCUUACAGCUAAAAUAUGUAUCACAAGUUAGAAAAAAAAGAAGAUAAAACAUACAAAUAUUAAUGAGAAUCAUAUAAAACGUAAUAGUUAUACCGAAUGUCGCCGACCGGAAAGUGGUCCAACCGUCAACGAAGUUGCGGUUACCAGAAAUAACGGUCACGUCAAUGCCAUCACCUAACAUAACGAGGUUCCAUUUCUUCUUCUUGAUCUCAACGUUUUCCAAGUAUAAACCCUUUUUAAUGUAUAUGACGAAACGUUUCGAGCUGUACUCAGGAGCUGCCUUAAUGGCGUCCAUUAUCUUUGUGAAGUUGCCUGUCCCGUCCAGUGCUACACUUACGUCGUAACUUACACCGUUUGUUUCAAGGAGUUUACGGUCGUUGGACCUGAGCCAGUCUGGGAAACGAGGGCUUUCGUCGUGGUCGGUGUUUGAUCUGAGUCCCCGGCCUGGUGGAGCCUUUGGUCCUUUAGCAAUAGGGCCAGGUUUAGAAAUGGGUUUGGGUUUCUGAUCGGCUUGAACAAGUGGUAACAGCUCCCUAAGCAUAUAAUAUAGUUGAUCGAGACUGCCUGAAAUGAACCGGGAGUAGAGUUAAAAACAGUCUUGGGCAUAUAUAAAAUAACUUAAAAUUUCUAUAAAUUAAUAAUGUUAAGUUCAUGAUAUUUUAUUAAAGGCAAUUCUCUCAAAUGACCAUUUUUAAGUUUUUAUCACAAAAUAGUCCUCAAAAAAAGAGAAUGACCAAAAUAGCUUCUUUUUAUUUUGAAAAUUUUAAUAUUUAUUUUUAAAAAUUUGAAACCAUAUCCCCAAAACUCCACCCCUUAACUCUAAACUCUAAGUCUAGAUUAGUUAACCCUAAGGUAAAAACACAUGUUUACCCUUUAAUAAAACUUAUUUUAGUCAUUUUCUUCAUUGAGAGAUAUUUUUGUGACAAAAACUUAAAAGGGGCUAUCCUAGGAAAUUUCUCUUUUAUUAAUUUAUAGAGUUAUUAAUUUAUAAAAAAUUCAUUUUAAGAUUUUUUUAUUUUAAAUAUAUAUUUUUCUAAAAUAAAAAAUAAUAAUUUAUUUUUAUAUAUACAUUAAUUACAUUUUUGAAAUUCGACAUUCAUACUGUUUUAUUAUACUAUUUAGUGUAUAUAAAAUAUGUUUCAUAGAGUUUAAAUUUAAUUUUAGAUAUAGUUUUACUAAAUUUCAUCAAAAUAUACUAAGUGUUAAAAAAAUAUAAAUAUAAUUCUAUUGUGAAUAUAAGACAAACAAUAUAAUGGUUUGUUUGUACAUAUAUAAAAUGUAUAUACAUAUAAUUAUUAAUUUAUAAUUUAAUGGGAUCUAUAUAUAUUUACAUAGGAUUAUUAAAAAGUUAUUAUCUUAUUAUUUUAUCGAUUUGCAUCAUAUUUUAAACUGGCCCAACUUGGGACCGUAAAAAAAUAUUUAUGGUGUUUAUUAAUUUAUCGAGUAUUAGCUUAUAGAGUUUCUACAGUAUAUAACUGAACCGAAUAAUCAAAACUUAACAAGAGUUUUAUCUACCUGAAAAAAUUAAAUAUCAUAAUUAGUAGACAUAUUGUAUAACAAACCUAGUUUUAUAUUAUACUUAGAGGCAACUCGGAUGCAAUUUUAUGAAAUAAAAUCUUAUGUUCGUUUUCUAAGAAAAAAAUCUCAUAAUAUUCACCAGUUAAAAUUAAAAAAAAAAGGAAUUUCAUUUUAUUUAUAAUCAUGAAUAAAAAACAUUUUGUUUAAAAAAUCAUUCCACAUUAAAAAAGUAGUGGAAUAGAUGGAAUGCUAAUCUCACUCCAUUCGAUUCUAUUAAUAGUUGUGUCUUUGAUCUCAUCUAUUUUUUUUUUAUUAAUUACUAGUUAUAGCCUCAAAUUACACCGUUUCAAUUACAAUUAUAUAGUUUUUUUUGCUUAACAGCAAAUUAUAUAGUUACUAUAUUGUUAUCCAAAACCGAAACAAACAUAAUAACAAAGAAAGUUUGAUACUCUGAAUCGAAUGUGACUGUUAAGAAAUUACCAUAUCAUUAUAUUAAGUUUACUUUUUAGUGACACACACAAAUAAUAGUAUACAUAAAAGAAAAACAUUAUAAUUACCAGCGAUAAGAGUUUUGACGAGACCAGAUGUACCGUCCAAUCCUUCCUUGCAAGUGUCUUGGUUGGAGAGAGCAGCACUCAACCAUGUCUGUGUGUCCGAUCUCACGUUCCCUGUUCCGUUGCCCUUACCUGUUGGCCCCACUCAAAGCUCAUUAAUUACUGGAGUACUAUUUAUUCUUAUUUUUCCACACUAUCAUUUUCAUUCACACUUAUAUUUAUUGUGCCAUUUUAAAGAUGUUGAAUCCACGUUCUCUGUCCCUACUACGCACAUGCCAUUUACUAGAUUGUAUAGAAGUUAUGUCUUGAGUCUCUUGACGUAAAGAUGUGUGAUGGAAACUUCUAAAAUUUCAUUGACUAACAGAUUCAAUCGAAUAACAUUUUUCCAAGAAUGUUUUGUGCUAGCUGUGUUUGCUAAAAACUCAGAAGGUUAUUUCAAAUUUGUUCUUUUUUUAUUCGUAUGGUUUUGUUAUAAAAAAACAAAUUUAAAUUAUCAAAAUUCUAAUAUAGUGACUAAAUGCUUUCUAUUACAACUGAAGGGAGGAACUAUCAUUUGUUACUGAUCUUCUGAAGGCGAAAGAGCAGAAAUGUAUUUGUUUUUAAGCUCUUUGUUAAAGCUUUAUCAACAAAACCGAAUAAGAAAACGGGGAAUAUGCGUGUAGAGAUUAAUAUUCUUUGUUGCAAUGCAAAGUUUGUAUAGUUGAAUAAUACUACUAGCUAGUACUAGGGUGGUGGUCAAAGAACCACCAAAUAACCGUAUUGCAAUCAAUUCCUUGCCGGAUUUCAAAUUUAAUGCAGCAAGUGCGAAACUAAUUUUCAUUUUGUUUUUAGAUAAACUUUCUCAAUUCGGCCCUUUUCAAUUAAAUAUGUGAAUAAAAUGACUUACUAUAUUACCAUUUGGUGAACCAAAAAAAAACUAUAUUGCCAUUUAAUAACACCAUGGAUGAUCAUAUUCUAUUGGAUACUUCGAGUCGUGGAGAAUCUUACUAGAGAAAGUCCACUUCUGAAGCAGUCUAGUUGUACAUGUGUGUUGUUUCACAAGAAUACUUAAUUAUUGCUGUUUUAUACACGUUUACAAUCAAAAAGACUAAAAUUCUAUGACGGUCGUAUACGUCAGAUUAACAUCAGCUAUGUCCCUCUCCUUUGCCUAUCUUGUGUAAUGGUGAAAAUAUUGUUAAUUACGUAAUUUGGGCGUCGUUACUUGUCUAAUGGAUAGUCUUUAGAUGCCUACGAAUAAUGUUCUGAACUUUCAAAAACUCUGAUUGAUAUGUAUAUACAAUAAUCGUGAAAAAGAAUAAAACUACUAUAUACUAAAUUGGUCAAUUUCACUACCUUUGGAUCAUUUUAAUCGAUAUAAACAACCGAUUUCAAAAAUCCUUUCUAAUCGGUUAAUUGCUAAAACCAACUAGUUCAGGUAAUUAAAAAAGAAAAGAAAAGUUCAGGUAAUCUUUCUAAAGCAUAGCAAGCAGCUAUAAGCCAUAACAAAGGUCAUGCUAGAUCCAUUUUUCUUCUAAAGUGGCAACAAUCGUAUCUAUUAUCCAUUUCUUCUUAAAAAAAAUUGUCGGUUUGAUCCAAUUUGUAUAUUAUGUUUUGGGUUUAUAGAAAAUAGUUUGUAUUUUCCAUCAAUUAAAAAAGAACUUGUGCAUUUAGAGUUUAUAACACUGUAAGGCGGUGCUAAAACUAGAUAAUAUAUAUAUAUAUAUGCGGUUAAUUAGGGUUUAAAGGUACGUACCAUGUGGAUUCUCAGAAGCAGAGGCAGACCAACUCAGCUCAUCUGAAGAAACAUCGAGCAGAUCUAGACAAUCCGAAACCGCAUUUUGGAGUCGACGAUCCCCACUGAAAUCCGCAAACCGAGACAAAAUCGUCUAUCUUGUGUAAUGGUGAAAAUAUUGUUAAUUACGUAAUUUGGGCGUCGUUACUUGUCUAAUGGAUAGUCUUUAGAUGCCUACGAAUAAUGUUCUGAACUUUCAAAAACUCUGAUUGAUAUGUAUAUAUAGAGGAUGAUUGGUAAGUGCUGUAGCUUUAUAUUUUUUGCUGUAGAAUUUAUUCUGUAUAUUUAUUUGCUGUAGCUUUCGUUGCUGUAGAUUUCUAAAGCACUAAUUUUUUGCUCUGGAAAUAAAGCUCUCUACAGCAAUAUUUUGAUUUUGCAUAAAUUUUUUUGCUGUAGGUUUUUUAAUGAAAGAAAAGCUGGAUUGGUUGACAUAUAUAGUUGUAGACUAAAUUUUGGCUGUCCAGAGCAUCUACAGCCCCAAUCAAUCAUCCCCAUAAUAAUCGUGAAAAAGAAUAAAGCUACUAUAUAGUACUCCCUCCGUUUUAUAUUGUAAAUAGUUUUAGGGAAAUGUUUUUGUUUCAAAAUAUAAGUAGUUUCGUAUUUCUAGGUAACUUUUACAUUUAUUGAAUACAGUGUGACCAAUCAAAUUAAAUAGACUUAUUUUUUAUUGGUUAAAUUAUAUCUAAUCUAUUUAUUAUAAAAUAUUUUUUAAAAACAUAAUAAUUUUUUUAAUCUUCGCGCUUUUAGCCAAAACUACUUAUAUCACGAAACGGAGGGAGUAUAUACUAAAUUGGUCAAUUUCACGACCUUUGGAUCAUUUUAAUCGGUAUAAACAACCGAUUUCAAAAAAUGCUUUCUAAUCGGGUAAUUGCUAAAAAACUAGUUCAGGUAAUUAAAAAAGAAAAGAAAAGUUCAGGUAAUCUUUCUAAAGCAUAGCAAGCAGCUAUAAGCCAAUAACAAAGGUCAUGCUAGAUCCAUUUUUCUUCUAAAGUGGCAACAAUCGUAUCUAAUAUCCAUUUCUUCUUAAAAAAAAUUGUCGGUUUGAUCCAAUUUGUAUAUUAUGUUUUGGGUUUAUAGAAAAUAGUUUGUAUUUUCCAUCAAUUAAAAAAGAACUUGUGCAUUUAGAGUUUAUAACACUGUAAGGCGGUGCUAAAACUAGAUAAUAUAUAUAUAUAUAUGCGGUUAAUUAGGGUUUAAAGGUACGUACCAUGUGGAUUCUCAGAAGCAGAGGCAGACCAACUCAGCUCAUCUGAAGAAACAUCGAGCAGAUCUAGACAAUCCGAAACCGCAUUUUGGAGUCGACGAUCCCCACUGAAAUCCGCAAACCGAGACAAAAUCGUACUCAUUUGUCUUAUUACUUCCACGAUCGUGUUAAUGGAGCUCACAAACUCACUUGCUGGAACUUUCAAGUAAUCGUAUGGCAUACUCUCUUCUGAUGACACACACAAACACAGCAUCAAGAAGAUCAAGAAACCCUUCCACCAUGACAUUUUUCUCUUUUUUUGUUGUUGUUAAACAAUGCUUUAACUUAUAACAAUAAUGAAUAAAAUGAUUAGAUGAAAGAAAGGAUUGGGUGGUUUUGAUCACAUUGAAGCUCUUCUGAGUUGGUGGAACCUAUAAAAGAAGGAACGCAUUAAAUUGCACCUACCUGUCUGUCUACUUCGAAACAGUUAAGUCUACGUAAAUCUUUAUUUGGGACUUAACUCCAUUAUCCCAACAAACAUAACUCUUUCUUUCAUCGUUGAUAUUUCUUUUCUUUUCAAUUGUAUUUAUGAGAUCUCUUAAUUAUAGCUCAACCGUCCCACACAUCCAUUAUGUUCUCAGAUUCGGUCGUAUAGUAGAAUGCAGCCAUUUACACCGCCUUAUAAAAAUCAUAGACUCCAUCCGUUAUAUCUGAGUUACUAGGUAAUAAUCCCCUGUGCGCAGAAUGAGAUAGUUCCGUAGAUUAAAUAUUGGAGUAUAUUAUACUAAGGGAUUAGUGUAAGAAUGUUAAAUUUGUAAUUCAAUUCGGUUCCAGUUUAGUUUUUUCGUUUUCGGUUAAUACAAAUUAACGACCAUAUUAAAAUCAUAUCUAAUUUCUUUUGGUUUAUAUAUUAUCGGUUUUAGUUUAUAAAAAAUUAAUGUAAUUUAAUUUAUACUAUUUUAAUAAAUCAAGAUAUACAAAUUAUAACAUACAUUAUAAAAAUAACAAACACAUGAAAUUAAUGAAAUAGUUAUAUUUUUAAUUAAUGAUGAUGUAGUAAAAGAUUCUACAACCUAUUUUACUUUUAAAAGCUUCUUAAUUUCGAUGAUAAUGUUUUAUCGAGCUCUUGCGCUGUGAAUAUUUUGAUCAUGUUUCAUCGAAUUCAUGUUUAAGCUUCUUUCGGUGAUGAUGUUUCAUCGAGUCCAUGUAGAUGAUAAUAAACAUAUUAUAGUUUCAGUUGCAAGGUAAUGACACAUUAGAUGAAUAGUUGGAAAAUGUAAUAAAUGUUUUCACAUAAAGUGUGAAACCAUUUUGAUUUGAGAAGCUUUCUGCAAGAAACACAUCAACAAUCUAAUGUUUAAAUGAUUGUGAGGCUGACACGUCACAAUGUUAAAAUAUUACAAUGUGAAAAUAUAUAUUACAAAUGCUUCUCUUUUGAUAUAUAAGAGAUUUUUUUUUACUAAUUUAUACAUACUAAUACUAAAUAUAUUAGUCAUUUAAACAAUGAACAUAUUACUCAUUCAAUUCAUUGUGUAGGUUAAACAUAAAUUUUUUUAUUGUAUUGAGAAAGUAAAACAUCAAUAAUUAAAUGAAACAAAAGCUUUUAGUUUAUAUCAUCAUUUAAUACAAAGGAGGAAUCAAGUAAAUGUAGUCAUUUAUAUAAUUACUCCCUCUGUAUUCUUUUACAUGAUGUUUUAGACUCUUUUUCUUGUCUCGUUAUAUUUGACGUUUUCAAAAUACUAUGCAUAAUAUGAUAAGAUAUGACUUUGUUUACCCUCAUGUUAUUAUUUCUAGUCAACAAACUCGAGUUUUAAUGUGCAAUAAUGUGUUACGAGAGAUGAUGGUCAAUUGAUGAUGAAAGAUAUAAAUGACUUUGUAGCAAGUGCCUUAAUUUGUGUGAAAAUUAUAGAACGUCAUGUAAAAAAUGAUUACAUAUGAAUAAAAUCACAAAACACUAAUCUGAGUCAUUUAUACUGACUUGGGAUUGCUGUCCCAUACAUAUGAAUAAAAUCACAAAACACUAAAACCAUCUUUAUCGGUGGUUUCCAACAUGGGUUUUAGAAAAAAACGUUAGUGGCGGACCUCACAUAUCACCAUAAAACCGAUGCCAAAAGUGAUCUGAUAAGGAUCGACUAUUGUUGGUUUCAAGUACUGUUUGCGGGCUCCACUGACAUGUGGCGGCCCGCGGGCCCGGGGUUGGUUUUUUUUUUUUUUUUCGGGAAAAAAAAAUUAAGAAACUCUUCAACCCAUUUUGCGAUAAUCAUGCUCUAAUCUGAGUCCAUGAAAAGUUAACCUAAAGAUCAAUAAAGUUUGUUUUACAGAAAUAAUAAAUUAAACAUUUGUAUAAAAUUUGGCGCUUAAAUCAAAUGUUUAAUGAGCUUAAAAGCCCAUCGCCGACUCUUAGCUAGCAUGGUACUACCACUCUAUCAUUGCCAAAGUUGAUUAUUCCACAAUAUUUCGAUGCAUGUCGCGAUCUUCUCUUGUAGUAUCAUUUAUUCCAUAAGAAGAAAAUACUUUGUGCUUAUUAUUGCUGAAUGUAUUACUAUUAUUAUUACGUACGAAUACGAUAAAUAAGUGAUUUCUGAGUUUAUCAUUUCAUGGAGAGUACACAUGUUGUAUAUGAGUGGCCUAGCUAGAUGCAGUGGCUAGAUGGAUGUGGUAAGGAUAGACUACACAAUGUCAAAAUUCGUUAGACAUGUUAAACAGCCUAGUAAGUUAUCUAGCUUUAAUAUUUUAGCAAAAAAAAAAAAAAAAAAGUUAUCUAGCUGACCAAUUAUACCGCAUGUUUACUAAAUGUUUCAAUUAAAUUGCAACCAUGCAUAGAGAGAGACAAGUUGAAUCAUCUUUUGUUUGAUCAAAAAUACAAAGUAAAAACAGAAGGAAAGAAUAUAACAGUAGAGAAACUCGUGAUGGUCGCUCUUAGAAAUGGUGGAAGGAAGAGGAAGAAGAUUGAACUGAAGAUAUAAUAAAAGGAGUCGAGUCAGUCAAAGAAAUAUUAGUCUCACGUUGACAUUGAUUGCCACGAAAUACUCAUUGGGCCAUCAAAAAACAAGCCCAGUUUCAAUGUGGGUUUCUUUGCUCUCCUCUCCAAAAGACCUUAGUAAUUAUCAUAAAACGACACCGUUUGGAGACCUCCCUUCUGACCAAAAUAACGGGGAAGCAAACCAAAGACUCGAAACUAGCUCGAGCUCUGUCCUCUGCUCUUUUGUCUUUCCCUUUCCUAUUCUAAUUUUUGGCGGAUUAUUUUCCUCUUUCUGGAUUUGAUAUAAUAAAACCACAGCACUCAAUUUUCUCAAACCCUAAUUGCUUGCUGCAGCUUGGAGAUGAAAUCAUUUGCUUUUUUGUUGGGUAAGUUAUACUUGCUUUCACUAAUAAAAGGAUUAUGAUUUGAGAUUAGAUUUAAAUCCUAUUAGAGCUACGAAUCUCUACAUCACUAAUCUAAAUUAGAUUUAGAGUUCUGAUCUUCUCUUUUGAAUUUGGCAACUCUUUUCCCGCAGACUGAUCACGUUGGAUGCUGAGGAUUGUACGAUGGAGGAAGGCGAAUUGAAGCGCGUAUGGUCAUCUACCGAUGCUGAGGAUGAUGAUACGUACCACAAGCGUCCCAAACUGUACUCAAGCUCCCUUUUUUACUACCUUGAUCACUCUUAUCUUGAUACAAACUGUUCGAAAAGCCUUUUUUUUUUUUCUUCUUUUAAAUUGCAGUGAGUGCCCAGCGUCUGCUUCUUCUGAUUCGUCGUCCAUGGAGGAGAGAACUGUUGCAUCUUCUUCUCGGACACAUAUGUUCUGCCACAAUUUCAUCUUGAAUCAUGGUCGGAAAGAUGAUGAUUCUCAAGUUCGUUUUGAUUUGACUGAUGACGUCUUACAUGUGGUACACACACACACUCUUGCAUUCUUUCUUUUUUUUUCUUCUUCUCCCUUUGUUUUUAGAUUUUUUUUGUCAUUUCUUUUCGCUUUCAGGUGUUCUCGUUCUUGAAACACGUCGACCUCUGUCGCUCUGCUAUGGUAUGUCGUCAGUGGAGAGUUGCCAGUGCUCAUGAGGAUUUUUGGAGGGUCUUGAAGUUUAAAAAUAUGAGUAUUUCUAUCGACCAAUGUAAGUUUCUUCUUUCAUUCAUAAUAUGUUAAAUCUGAAAGAAACAACUCUGAGAAUUGAUAUUGAGUCUUGGACUAUUAUUAUACAUUUUUUUUCGAUAUUUUUAGUGAAUACAAUAACUUCACUUGUAUGUUGGUAACAUUGGAUGCAUUCAUUAUGUUCCUCAAACUUACAUAAUCUUUGGUUUCUUGCUUUUGUGUGGCAGUUGAAAACAUGUGUCGUCGCUAUCCCAAUGCCACUAGAGUGAAUGUUUAUGGCGUUCCUGCUGUUAACGCCCUGGCUAUGAAAGCAGCUACCAGUUUCAGGUAUCUCUGUCUUGAAUAUAAUAUGAUUUCAUAGAUUAAGAGCUAUAUAGCUAUGUACAUCAUAUCCAUCGUUUCGUUUGGUUUGUUUCAGGAAUCUGGAGAUCUUAACUAUUGGAAACGGUCAGAUCAGUGAAAACUUUUUCCAGAUAUUGGGUGAGUGUAACAGCUUGAGGAGCGUGACCAUAAGUGACGCUAUUUUGGGAAGUGUUCCUCAGGAAAUACACCUGAGCCAUGAUCGGCUACAUAAACUUAAAAUUAGAAAAUGCAGCGCUCUGCGUUUGUCUAUCAGGUGAAGUUGAUUUAUUUUUCUAUUUGAUUCUUGUUCCUUUAUGUGUAUUUCAUUCAUUCUUUUCCUAUCAUUUAGGUGUCCGCAGCUCCGGUCUUUAUCAUUAAAAAGAAGCGACAUGGUACUGGCGAUGCUUAACUGUCCACUCCUCCAACAUCUUGACAUAGCCUCGUGCCAUAAGCUCCAAGAUGCUGAUAUCCGGUCAGCUGUCACUUCGUGUCCUCAACUAGAGUCGCUCGAUGUUUCUAACUCUUCCUGUCUCGGUAAUGAAACUUUGCGUGAAAUAGCCCAGGCUUGUGCUGCUCUCCAUAUUCUUAAUGCUUCACACUGCUCCAAUAUAUCUUUUGAGGUUGGUGUCAUGUUACUAUAUAUAUAAUAUAUUAUUAUUUUACUUCUCUGACUUGUGUGACCUUUUUCUUCUUUGAAGUCAGUACAUCUCCCCAUGUUGACAGUUCUCAAGCUUCGUAGCUGUGAGCGUAUAACAUCCGCGUCUAUGACUUGGAUUGCUAACAGUCCUGCGCUGGAGGUCUGUGUCUGUUUUUUUUUUCCAUACACUGUUCUAUAACCUUUAACUAAAGACCGCUGUUUCCAGUUAAGUUAAUCACAGAUCAUCUAUUGCAGGUUUUGGAGCUUGAUAAUUGCAAUAUGUUCACAUCUGUCGCGUUGCAUCUCUCCUGCUUGCAGAGUUUAAUCCUACUAAAUUGCCGCAAGUAUAGCCUUCACUUUUGUUUUUUUACUGUGAAAAUUAAAGGCAAAGUUUUGCUAUCAUUUCACAAGUGUCCUCUCUUUUCGCUGCGUUUUAACAGAUUCGUAGAGCUGAACUUGCAAAGCACCAUGCUUUCAUCAAUCACUAUUGCAAACUGUCGAGCUCUUCGCCGAGUCACAAUCACUUCCAACGCCCUACGAGUAUGCUAUCAUGAUUUGUUAAUACAGUUCCAUUUGUUGGAAGUUUUGGUCUGUUUAACAUGUUCACAUUUCUUCAUUUUUGUUGCAGAGGUUAGCUCUCAAGAAACAGGAGAAUUUGACAGCAUUAGUUCUGCAGUGCCAGUCCUUGCAAGAAGUGGAUCUCUCUGGUUGUAAAUCACUGUCCAACACUGCAUGUGAAUCAUUUAGUGAUGUUGGUGGAUGCCCAUUGCUGAAGUCAUUGAUUCUUGACAACUGUGAGGUGUGACACGGUUUCUUCGUGUGCUUUUGGCUGCAGCUAACUGCUACAUGUGAUAACAUAGUGAAAUAUAUAGUUAACUAAGACAAUAGGUGAUUUUUUCCUGGUUGCUUACCUGAUUCUAAAGCUUCUGUCAUCUUUCAGAGCUUAACAGAAGUGAGAUUCUGCAACUCAUCGUUGUCUAGUCUGUCCCUUGUUGGCUGUCGUGCUGUUACUUCUCUUGCGUUGAAGUGCCCUCGCUUAGAGCAGAUCUGUUUGGAUGGAUGUGAUAAUCUUGAAACUGCAUUCUUCAAGCCUGUGAGUGUUUCUUUUCUCAUAUUGCAAAACUAACUUUUCUUAACUGAUGUAUUUCUUGCUUGACCGUUCUGGUUAUGAACAGGUUGCACUUCGGUCUCUAAAUCUAGGAAUAUGCCCAAAACUGAGUGUGCUCAGUAUCGAAGCGCCUUAUAUGGUGUCCCUUGACUUGAAAUGUUUCGGUGGACUGUCUGAAGCAUCCAUCAUUUGUCCUUUAUUAACAUCUUUAGAUGCGUCUUUCUGCGGGUAAUCAUUUAUUGUUUGUUAUAUUUCAUUUUCACGACUUAUGCUAAUCAACUUCCCUCCAUUACCUUUUCUAGUCAACUGAGGGAUGACUGUCUGCGUGCAAUCACUGCUUCUUGUCCACUAAUCGAGUCACUGGUGCUAAUGUCGUGCUCUUCUAUUGGCUCUGUUGGCUUUUCUUCCUUGAAAGGCCUCCAGAAUUUGAUUGUUCUUGAUUUGUCGUAUACUUGCGUGAUGAAUCUGGAGCCCAUCUUCAAGUCAUGUAUUCAACUGAAGGUAGAUAAGUCAUAAGACCUUAUGACCUGUACAGUUUUUUUCUUUCUGUCUGCAGUAGAGCAUAUAUACUUAUUAUUCAUUUCAUGAGAACUUCUUGCAUAUUUUAUUGUUUAGGUACUCAAACUACAAGCCUGCAAAGAUCUUACUGACUCAUCAUUGGAGCCUCUAUACAAAGAAGGUGCAUUACCCGCACUUGAAGAGUUGGACCUGUCUUAUGGAACUCUCUGUCAGACUACUAUAGAUAAUCUACUUGUCUGCUGCACACACUUGACCCAUUUGAGCUUGAACGGCUGUGUUAACAUGCAUGACCUUGAACAUGAUUGGGGUUCUGGUGAGAGUAAUCAAGAACCAGCUGAAACAAGUACCAACCGGUUGCUACAAAACCUCAGCUGUGUGGGAUGCCCCAAUAUCAGAAAAGUAUUGAUACCGCCUGCAGCUCGGUUUAAUCAUUUAUCAUCACUGAACCUUUCGCUAUGUGUCAAUUUAAAGGAGGUUGAUCUCGCUUGUUCCAACCUGGUCUUACUUAAUCUAAGGUAUGAGAGGAUUUACAAGUUGUAAUAUGACUUUGUUUCUUUAGUUCUCGUAAAAAAAAGAUUGGUGUUAUUCAAUUUGCUAAUUAAAUUUAAAUUCAAAAAUGGAUUGUUUAGCAACUGUUGCUCUCUGGAAGUACUGAAGCUUGGCUGUCCAAGAUUGUCUACUCUCUUUCUUCAGGUAAUGUUUUUUCCCCAUGAUUGCCUCUGUUUAUAUCUUAAUUGUUUUGUUAGCUAGUUAAAUAAGCUCAGUUACAUGGGUUCACGUAAGUUGAAGAUAUAUAUAUAUCUGUAGUUGUAGUACUUGUCCAGAUGUUAUCACUAAACACACUUUGUGACUUUGUCUUUGGUAGUCUUGUAAAAUGGAUGAAGCAAGAGUUGAAGCAGCUAUAUCAGGAUGCUGCUCACUAGAGACACUGGAUCUCCGUUUCUGUUCAAAGGUAUGAAGUAGGGUGUGUUUAUUUUGAUAGUUUGAUAUAAAGAUUAGCAAAUAAGAGACUUCAACUUUUGAAAACUAUGUCCUGGUUAUUAACAGAUAUCCUCGGUGAGCAUGGUGAGGCUCCAAACAGUGUGCCCUAGUUUGAAGCGCGUCUUUAGCAGUCCUAAUCUUUUGCAAGACCAGGGUUUUGCAUCGAAUGUUUUAUUAUAUACAACUCUCUCUAGAUUAUACUGAAUGCUAUAUGAUGUGUUGUGUGGUGUUUGAGAUGUAACUAAUGGGUCCAAGUCUCGAGUUUCAGUAGUGCUUAUAGGCCUUGUAUUGUGGCUUUCUUAGGCUGCUUUUGUGAUGACACAAACUUUCGUGUGUUUUUGCUUGAUUAGGCCAUUUUCAAUCCAACGGUAAGACUUUAUUUUAUGUAAUUUUUAUACAAGAGUUUGUCUAAUCCAACGCUAAAGGAUUCAUUACUCAUGGAAUAAGGCACCAAUUCCUUAUUAUCUCCUUUUCUUACAGUUAACUCACGUUUCUAAAACGUCCUACCUUACCAAACGAAUGGGGGAAGCAAAGAACCAAAGACUCGGAACGAGCUCUGCAGUUUUGUCUUUCCCUUUACGAUUUUGGCGGAUUAUUUUCCUCUUCGGGAUCUGAUCAACGACCACUUUGAUUUAUAGCCUCUCUUAGUCUUGGGAAUAUUAUCAUAAACCCAAAAACUUAAUUGGAACAGAACCAAAAAUAAAUAAACAAAAAAACCAAAACCUGACAAAGUUUACAAAAACAAUGGUUUUUAUUUUUUCUGAACCCGAAAAAUCCAAGCUGAACAGGUAAAAAUAUCCUAAGUACAAUUAAAUAUUAGUUGUAUGAAAAUCCAAUUCUUUGACGGAAACUAAAGGCUAACCUACAAGCUAGUCUCGUCGAAUCGACUCAAGAUCAUCUAUCAGAGAGGACAAGGUCCAAGAUCUGACUCUUAGAUACUAAAAUAAAUACAUAUAUAUAUAUAACAUUUAAUUUACAAAUCGAAAAUCCGAAUAACUUGAAUUUUUUUUUUUUUGUUUAUUUGGAGUUUAUCUGGAGCAUUCAAGAUUUUUUAGUUUUAAACUUGAACCAAAUCCAAACUGCUUUUAGUUCGGUUUCAUUUCGGGUUUUAGAAAAACACGUGAUCAUGAUCCGACCCGAUAUUAUUCGAACUCACCCGAAAAAUGUUUCGUUUCGAAAAAUUUACUCCUAGAGACAUAAUUUCACUUUACAAUUACGCAAUGAAUCACAUUGUCCUUGGAGAGCACUUUUCUUGUGUUGAUUCUACAACUUACCCUUCAAACUAGACCAAAUCCAAUUAGUCACUCUCAUUGUUCCAUCGCUUAGCUUUAUCCUUAUCACUUUUGAAUUAAAUAUUUGCUUAAAAAAUAAAAAUAAGGUAUUUCAAAAAGAAAAAGAAAAAAAAUAGGAUUCAGACUUUUCUUUUUUUCGCUUCUCUUCUCUAUUGUGUCAAUCUUUUUGUGAGAUUUCUCCUGCUUCAAUGGUCCCAUGUAUUCUCUUCUUCAUUUCGAAAUGCUCCGAGCUCGGUUGAUGAUAUGAAGAAGAAAGGGUAUGGUGUACCAUAAACUUGGCUGAUGAAGCUCUGCAUGGAGACUACGAGGAGGAGCUCAUAAACAUUAUUGUUAAUAUUGUAUAUUUAUUAUAUAAGAUACUCAUAUAUAUUUGUAUCUAUCUAGUUUAGGAAACAUCUCUAAUAUAAAUAUAUAUAUGUAACUCUAACCAUUAUUCUCACGAGAGUCAAUACAAUAUUAUUCACAUCUUCUACUCUCAUCACAUUCUCUACAGGAGCAGGUUCGAGCGCUGGUGUGGAGAUGACGACUCGACGGCGAACAGAACUCGUGGUGUGGAAGAGGAAGAUGGCACCAGUUGUUUAGUUAGAGUUAGAUAGGUCUCGGACAGGAGAUUACACAGCGUUGGACCGUUUCACAGUGGGUAAGAUUUUUGUGGCCAUUUUUGGCCAAAAAAUCGGGUUCUUAGAUUUUUUUUGGAUUGUGCUUAAAAUUGAAUGUGAUUGGAUAGAUCUAUCAAUUUAAUUCAAAAACAACAUGAAAACGUGAUAUUUUGAUGUAUUGUUACAAUAUUCUAUGGUCGGUCAUGAAAGUGUCCCAGGAGAAUUAAAACAAUUGGAGGAAGAAGAUGAUUAUAAUUACGAUUUUGCCAUUAUUAAAAAAACAAAAAAAAACAGGGAAAAAUAAAAUUAAACGUGGAGCACUUAGGGUCUGAUUAGUUCAAACGCAGCGGUUGCGGGAGUUUGCGGAUGCGGGUGGUUGCGGUUUCUAGCAGUUUAAGAGAUUUGUAUGACUGGUUCUGCGGUUAGAAAUUGAUGCGUUUGCGGGAUACUUAUGACUGAUAAUUAUCAUGUCCGGUUCCCUCGGGGGAUGGAUCCAUAAGAAAAUUUUAUAAUAGUAAUUAAAAUAUAAUAGAUAUAUUUUAGUAUUUUUAUAAUUCCAAUUUUACAUUUUUAUUGAAUAUUUUUAUUUUUGUAUUUAUAUGUUUUAAAAAAAAGGAAAAAAAUUUAUCCUCUCGCAACCGCAAACGCUAGCUGGAACCGGCUUUUGAUUUUAACAGGUUCGGAACGGUUUGAAGCGAUUUGUAGCGAUUUGUAUGAUUGUUUCGAAACGCUGUCAAAUGCUACCAACCGCAAAAGCUGCGUUUGCGGGUGGUAGCUGGGAAACCAGUCAACACCUUAAUAUGUUGUGUUAAAAACUCCCCUUACUAAACCUCUGUAUCAGUUUAAUUGGUGUUUAAAGAUUUUGAUUUUGUUUCAAAAUAAGUGAUUGUUCUCGCAAUUUUAGGUGAAAUUUAAUGUCAUUUGAAAUUUUUGACCAAUUAUAAAAUACUGCAUCUUUUUUUAUUUGUUAAAUUAAUUUUAUUUAAUGUUAUUUUAUGUAAUCAAAGCUAAUUACAUAAAAAAUUGUAUUUUCUUAAUAUUUGUGCAAAACCUUUAAACACAUCUUAAAAUGAUACAAAGGGAGGGAGUAUAUAUCUUAUUCAUAAAAUGUUUCGUAACCAACUUAAUAUAUACAAAUGUAUCUGAUUUUUUUUAUUAAAAAUACUUAAUACUAAUUCCAGCAUCCAUAUUUUUUUAUGUACAAAAUAUCAUGAACAAGUUAUACAAAAUAUGUAAAAAUAUAUUCCAAAAAGCUUUGUGGAGAUGGAGCAUUGUGUUUUUUGUGUGUACAAAGUAUCAUAAACAAGUUAAUUGGUGAAAUUAUUGAAGGUAAACCCUCCACGAAAACAUGAACCCGUCCACGAGAACAUGUCCACACUAAAUCUACAAUAACAUGUUCACAAAACAUGUCAGCAAGACCGUGUUUUCACCAAACUGUCUACACUAUCUCAUCCAUAAGCAUACUAAAAUUGAUAGACAUAACAAUAUUAUUAUAUAGAUCUAUAUUAUACGUUUUCGCAUCAGUCAAGAUUCACCAAUCCACAACUCUAUCACCCACAACACUUUGCAUCAAUCAACAACUCUUUCGUCCACAACAUUUUUAUUAAUAAAUUAAAAUUUUAAUUUUUUAGAAAAUAUCAAAGUAUAUAUAUAUAUAUAUAUAUAUAUAUAUAUAUAUAUAUAUAUAUAUAUAUAUAUAUAUAUAUAUAUAUAUAUAUAUAUAUAUAUAUAUAUGGUUAUCAAAAUGUUAUCUACAGUUUUUUGUCCAUUUGAUAUUGGUUGUUAAAUGAUAAUUUUAUUAUAUAUGAAUGAUUAUUAGACAUGUCAGGAAAAAGAAGAUUUAAAAUUUUGUUAUGAAAAAGAUGGAUGAGUUUAAAGAGAUGUUAUGAUAGAUCAGAUCCACAAGUCUUCCGUCCAAUCCACAAAUCGUCUAUCCCUAACUCACGUGUCCACAAAACUAGAACACAUGUUCAAACAUUGUUUAUCCACAAAAAUUUAUUUAUUAGUUAUUAAGAUUAUUAAAAUGGAUGUUAAAGUAUAAAAAAAAACAAUUUAGAACAAACUAUACCAAAUAUAUUUAUUUAUGUAUUUUAAAUUUUGAAAUACAGUCAAAAUAAGAUAUAAGGGAUGAAUGUAUAAUAAAAAUACAAAACAAUAAUGUAAUACAACCUUAUUAUCUACCGUUGAAUCUUUUUCCUUCUAAUGAAAUCUAAGGACCUGCAAUUCUUAAAUAUAAAAUCGUUACACAUUUUGUGUUCUAUCGUUGUAUUCUAAACUAUUUGGUUACUCUAACCUAACCAGACAGAAACAAGUAACUUGGCGUGAAAGCAUAACAGUACGCAAAAAAUACAGUUGUCCAAAAAAAAUGUGCCAACUGGCUUAAUGUGUCUUCACGCGUUAAAAAAAUCUUAAAUGUGUCUUAUAUGGUAAACGAUUCUUUCGUUUCUAAAUGGAUUUUAAACAUUCCAAGCCCAAAUAAUCCGAAUCAAUCCAAACCGAAAACCCAAAAUCAAAAUAGAUCCGAAUCGAGAACCCGAAUGUCCAGCAGUAGUCUCUCUAAUAAAACCACACAAUACCGCAGUUAUCUAUUGGCUUCCUAUUCACCACUCCAUUUUCCCAAACCCUAAUUUCUGCAGCUUGGAGAUCAGUCUUUCAAGGUUUUUGGAUUAUAUUAUUAUUUUUUUUAACGUUUUUCCAGAUUAUUAUUCUAAUCCUAUUAGAGAUAUGUCUUAUUUUUUUAGUAUAAAUAUGGAUAUGAUGAUCUCUUGAGAAAAGUUUGAUUGAUUAUUUGAUUAAAGAAGUUGUGUGUUGCCUAGAACCGAACUUUCCUUAGACUAAAGCUAGCGAGGAUGGAGGAAGGUGAAGAAGCCGCAGGGGCUGAAUUGAAGCGCUGCUUAUGGUCAUCGAGCAAUGCUGAGGAUUGUACGAUGGAGGAGGAGGACGAUUCGCACCACAAGCGUGCCAAAGUGUGCUCUGCCCUUGCGUUAGCUCUCUCCCUAAACUCCAUUUUUUACUCACUGAAUCUUGAUAGAAACCAAGUUUGGAGCUGCCUCAGCUUUUGACCAACAUCCUUUGAACUAUCAUGAAUCCUUUUUGGGUGUUAUUUUGUUUGUUUCUUUUCGUUUUAGUGAAUGCCGGUCUGCUUCCGGGAUAUCUUCAGAUGCUUCUGGUUCGUCCAUGGAGAAAACUGUUGCAUCUUCUUCUCGGACAGAUACUGCUAUGUUCUGCCAAAAUUUCAUCUUAAAUCAUGGUCGGAAAGAUGAUGAUUCUCAAGUUCAUAUUGAUUUGACUGAUGAUGACCUCUUACAUGUGGUAUACACACUCUUGCAUUUUAAGAUAAUCUUUUUCUUUUUAUAGAUUUUUUUGUAAUUUUUUUUUUUCCACUUUCAGGUGUUCUCGUUCUUGAAUCACAUCGACCUCUGUCGCUCUGCUAUGGUAUGUCGCCAGUGGAGAGUAGCUAGUGCUCAUGAGGAUUUUUGGAAGGUCUUCAACUUUCAAAAUAUGAGGAUUUCUAUCAAGCAGUGUAAGUUGUUCUUUUCAAUACAUAAUGUUAAACAUUGUCUUCUCUGUUAUUUUGCUGUGUACACCUUGAAGGAACUCUGAGAAUUGAUAUUGAGUCUUGGACUAUUAUACAUUUGUCUGAUAUUUUUAGUGAAUACAAUAAACUUGUAUGUUGGUAACAUUGGAUGCAUUCAUUCUGCAACCUUUAAUGGCCUCUCUAAGAGAGCUAUGUUAACUCAAACUUGUAUUUUCGCAAGACGUUAAUAUAUAAUUAGAGUAAAGUAUAACCAUUGGUUGCUUUUGUGUGGCAGUUGAAAUCAUGUGCCAUCGCUAUCCCAAUGCAACUAAAGUGAAUGUUUAUGGUGUUCCUUCUGUCAGCAACAGUCUGGCUAUGAAAGCAGCUACUACUUUGAGGUAUCUGUCUUCUUUAGCCUUGAAUAUGAUUUCAUAAAUUAAACUUAAAUCAUAUAUAUCCAUUUCGUCUGUUGUUUCAGGAACCUGGAGGUCUUAAUUAUAGGAAAAGUUCAUGUCAGUGAGGAAAUUUUCCAGGUAUUGAGGGAGUGUAAUAGCUUGAGGAGUGUGACCAUAAGUGAGGCUCUUCUAGGAACUGGUCCUCAGGAAAUACACCUAAGUCAUGAUCGGCUACGUGAACUUAAAAUUAUAAAAUGUCGCGUUAUGCGUUUGGCUAUCAGGUGAAGUUGUUUUUUUUUUUCCAUUUGAUUCUUAUUGGUUUUUUUUAUUCUCAAUUUUUAUCUAUCGUAUUAGGUGUCAGCAGCUCAGGUCUUUAUCCUUAAAAGGAAGCAACACGGUACGGGCGAUGCUUCACUGUCCACUCCUCCAACAUCUUGACAUAGCCUCGUGCCGUAAGCUCCUAGAUGUUGUAAUCCGUUCAGCUGUCACUUCGUGUCCUCUAUUAGAAUCGCUCGAUGUUUCUAAAUGUUCCAAUCUCAGUAACGGGACUUUGCGUGAAAUAGCCCAGGCUUGUGCUGGUCUCCGUAUGCUUAAUGCUUCAAGCUGCCCCAGUAUAUCUUUUGAGGUUGGUGUCAUGUUAUCUGCUAUCUGCUGUCUCAUACUUGUUUUCUGACUUGUUUGACCUUUUCUUCUUUGAAGUCAGUACAUCUCCCCAUGUUGACAGUUCUCAAGCUUCAUAGAUGUAGCUGUAUAACAUCCGUGUCUAUGACUUGGAUUGCCAACAGUCCAGCGCUGGAGGUCUGUGUCUGUUUUUUCUUUUUUCCACACACAUACACAUGCACACUGUUCUACAACCUUUAACUAAAGACCACUGUAUCCAGUUAAGUUAAUCUCACAUAUCAUCUAAUUACAGGUUUUGGAGCUUGAUAAUUGCACCAUGUUGACAUCUGUCGCGUUGCAUCUCUCCUUCUUGCGGAGUUUAAGCCUAGUAAAUUGCCCCAGGUAUAGCCUUCAUCUUUUGUUUUCCUCUGGAAAAGUUUUGCUAUCAUUUCACACACGUGUCCUCUUUUCCCUGUGUGUAACAGAUUCACAGAGCUGAACUUGCAAAGCACCAUGCUUUCAUCAAUCACUGUUUCAAAGUGUCCAGCUCUUUGCCGAGUCACAAUCACUUCCAACGCCCUACGAGUAUGCACUGCACUUAGUUAUCAUGAUUUGUUAAUACAGUUUUGUUCUAAAUAACCCGUUAACAUUUCUUCAUUUUUGGUGCAGAGAUUAGCUAUCAAGAAACAGGAGAAUUUGACAACAUUAGUUCUGCAAUGCCAGUCCUUGCAAGAAGUGGAUCUCACUGGUUGUAAAUCACUGUCCAACACUGUAUUUAGUGAUGAUGGUGGAUGCCCAAUGCUCAAGUCAUUAAUUCUUGACAACUGUGAGGUGUGUGAUCCAGUUUCUUCUUGUUCUUUUGGCGGCAACUAACUGCUAUUUUAUCUGAUAAACAUAGUGAAAUAUAUAUAGUUAAUUAAAGCAGCACUUGCUCAUAUUUUAAUGUUUUUUAAACCUUGUAUCAUUUUGUAGAGCUUAACAGAAGUGAGAUUCUGCAACUCAUCGUUGUCUAGUCUGUCCCUUGUUGGCUGUCGUGCUGUUACUUCUCUUGCGUUGAAGUGCCCUCGCUUAGAGCAGAUCUGUUUGGAUGGAUGUGAUAAUCUUGAAACUGUAUUCUUCAAGCCUGUGAGUGUUUCUUCUCUCAUAUCACAAAACUGACUUUUCUUAACUGAAGGAUUUAUUACUUCUCCCUUGAACGUUCUGGUUGUGAACAGGUUGCGGUCCGGUCUCUAAAUCUAGGAAUAUGCCCAAAACUGAGUGUGCUCAGUAUCGAAGCGCCUUAUAUGGUGUCCCUUGACUUGAAAUGUUUCGGUGGACUGUCUGAAGCAUCCAUCAUUUGUCCUUUAUUAACAUCUUUAGAUGCGUCUUUCUGCGGGUAAUCAUUUAUUGUUUGUUAUAUUUCAUUUUCACGACUUAUGCUAAUCAACUUCCCUCCAUUACCUUUUCUAGUCAACUGAGGGAUGACUGUCUGCGUGCAAUCACUGCUUCUUGUCCACUAAUCGAGUCACUGGUGCUAAUGCCCCCCCCCCCCAUUGCCUUUCCAGGAAACUGAGGGAUGACUCUCUCCCUACAAUCACUGCUUCUUGUCCACUAAUUGAGUCACUGCUGCUAAUGUCCUGCUCCUCUAUAGGCUCUGAUGGCUUUUCUUCCUUGAAAGGCCUCCAAAAUUUGAUUGUUCUUGAUUUGUCGUAUACUUGCGUGAUGAAUCUGGAGCCCAUCUUCAAGUCUUGUAUUCAACUGAAGGUAGUUAAGACCUUAUGACUUGUAUAAUGUUUUCUUUCUGUCUGCAGUAGAGCAUAUAUACUUAUUAUUCAUUUCAUGAGAACUUCUUGCAUAUUUUAUUGUUUAGGUACUCAAACUACACGCCUGCAAAGAUCUUACUGACUCAUCAUUGGAGCCUCUAUACAAAGAAGGUGCAUUACCCGCACUUGAAGAGUUGGACCUGUCUUAUGGAACUCUCUGUCAGACUACCAUAGAUAAUCUACUUGCCUGCUGCACACACUUGACCCAUUUGAGCUUGAACGGCUGUGUUAACAUGCAUGACCUUGAUUACUUUGGUGUAUUCAAUUCUAGUGAGAAUACUCAAGAAUCAGCUGAAACAUCCAACCGGUUACUGCAAAACCUCAACUGUGUGGGUUGCCCCAAUAUCAGAAAAGUGUUGAUACCACCUGCAGCUCGGUUUGAUCAUUUAUCAUCACUGAACCUUUCUCUAUCGGUCCAUUUAGAGGAGGUUGAUCUCGCUUGUUCCAACCUGGUCAAACUUAAUCUAAGGUAUGAGAGGGUUUACAAGUUGUAAUAUGACUUUGUUUCUUUAGUUCUCACAGAAAAAGAUUGGUGUUACUCCAUUUGCUAAUUAAAUUUAAAUUCAAAAAAUGGAUUGUAUAGCAACUGUUGCUCUCUGGAAGUACUGAAGCUUGGCUGUCCAAGAUUGUCUACUCUCUUUCUUCAGGUAAUGGUUUUAUUCCACAGUUAUAUCUUAAUUGUUUUGGUUUUAAGCUAGUUAAAUCACAUGGGUUUAUAUAUGUUCAAGAUAUAUAUCUAUAGUUCCAGUACUUGUGCACUAAACACAUUUUGACACCUCUGUUAUUGGUAGUCAUGUAAAAUGGAUGAAGCAGGAGUUGAAGCAGCUAUAUCAGGAUGCUGCUCACUAGAGAUACUGGAUCUCCGUUUCUGUCCAAAGGUAUUAUUAGUAGGGAGUGUUUACUUCGGUAUCAAAGUUAAACAAAUAAUCCAUGGAUCAUAAAAGGGACUUUAAAACUUUGAAAACCAUCUCUUUGUGAUUUAACAGAUAUCUUCAGUGAGCAUGGCGAGGUUCCAAACAGUGUGCCCUAGUUUGAAGCGCGUCUGCAGCAGUCCUAAUCUUUUGAAAGACCAGGAGUUUGCAUGGAAUGUUUUAUACAACCUCUAAAAUUAUACUAAAUGCUAUGAUGUGUGUCAGUGUGUGGUGUUUGAGAUGUAACUAAUGGGUCCAAGUCUCGAGUUUCAGUAGUGCUUCUAGGCCUCUGGAGUCUGGAGACUGGAGCUAUGGCCUUGUGUUGUGUGAUGACACAAAAAUCUUUACUUUUUUUUUGUAUUUGCUUUGACUACAUCGCUGCUACUGAUGUAAUAAUAUUAUUCAACAUAUAUGGAAUAGUUUAUAUGGAGAGCCUAAUUGAAAUCCCUCUAAGCUAUUAGAGCAAAAUUUAGUUACUCUAUUUUCGUGGAAAUUAUAGAGGAAAAAAAUAGGUUUGGGUUGGAGAUGAUCUAAUGGAUUGCUCCAAAUAUACCGUGAUUACCAUCUCAAUCAAAAUAUGAUAACCAUUUUUUUUGUUUUCUUUCAGUAAUGUUAGUGAAAAAUUACACUUGAAUAAAUAUAAGUUCAGACUCUUUUCAUCAUUCCUCAUAUUCUUUCUCUGACAAGAAGGGUAGCGUAGAGAUAUGUCUCUAGUUUCGUGACGUGCAAGAAACGUCGCUCAUCUUCAAAAGGCUACAUUUUUAAACUUACCAUGCAAGCAAGCCUCAAAGCCAUCCCUUUCUCCUUCCACAGACCUCCCAGAUUCUACUAUCUCCUCUCUUCUCAUUCUUUCUCUCCUUUUCUUCUCACUUCUACUAAUUCACCAUUUUCUUCUUCUCCUUCUUCUUCUUCUUCCUCACAAUGGUUCGGCUUUCUACGCCAUGCCAUCUCUUCCUCGGACUUGAGGCUCGGGAAAUGCACGCACGCACGUAUCCUAACCUCCGAAGAAAACCCAGAACGUUUCUUAAUCAACAACCUCAUCACAAUGUACUCAAAGUGCGGAUCACUCACUCACGCUCGCCGAGUGUUCGAUAAAAUGCCUGAAAGAGACCUCGUUUCCUGGAACUCUAUUUUAGCAGCAUAUGCCCAGUCUUACGAACAUGUUAUCGACAGCACCGAAGAGGGUUUUGUUCUUUUCCGGAGUUUACGACAGAACGUUGUGUUCACCAGUCGAAUGACUUUGGCUCCUCUGUUGAAACUCUGUUUGUGUUCUGGAUAUGUGUGGGCUUCAGAGGCAGUUCAUGGGUAUGCUUGCAAAAUCGGUUUGGACAGUGAUGAGUUUGUUGCCGGAGGUCUUGUUAAUAUAUAUCUGAAGUUCGGUAAGGUUAAGGAAGGUAGGGUUUUGUUUGAGGAGAUGCCUGGUAGAGAUGUGGUGCUAUGGAACUUGAUGUUGAAGGCUUAUCUUGAUAUGGGUUUUAAAGAAGAGGCAGUUGAACUCUCUUCUGCAUUCCAUAAAAGUGGCUUGCAUCCCAAUGGAAUCACUUUGCGUUUACUUGAUAGAGUUUCUGGUGAUGAUUCUGAAGGAAGACAAGUGAAUGGUAAUGAUGCUUCCGAAAUACGAUCCAAGAACCAGAUAUUAACUAAGUAUCUCCAGGGAAGUCAGUACUCAUCUCUUCUCCAAUGUUUUGCGGAUAUGGUUGAUUCCAACUUGGAAUGUGACAGUGUCACAUUUGUUUUGGUGUUAUCUACAGCUGUUAGGUUAGAUAGUUUAGCAUUAGGGAAGCAAGUUCAUUCUAUGGCAUUGAAGUUGGGUUUUGAUUUGAUGCUCACUGUGGCGAAUAGUCUAAUAAACAUGUACUGUAAGCUGAGAAAAGUCGGCUACGCUAGGACUGUUUUUAACAGUAUGAGUGAACGAGAUUCGAUUUCGUGGAACUCAGUUAUCUCCGGGUUUGCUCAAAGUGGCCUAGAAGUGGAAGCAGUGUGUCUGUUUAUGGAGCUCUUACGUUGUGGCCUCACACCAGACCAUUAUACCCUAACCAGUGUUCUAAAAGCAACUUCUUCUCUCUCGUUGAAUAAACAAGUUCAUGUUCAUGCAAUUAAAACCAAUAACGUUGGUGACAGUUUUGUCUCUACUGCUCUGAUAGACGCCUACUCUCGGAACAAGUGUAUGAAAGAGGCAGAGGUUUUGUUCUCGAGGAACAGUUUCGAUCUCGUCGCUUGUAAUGCUAUGAUGUCUGGUUACACCCAGAGUAAUGACGGCGACAAGACUCUGAAGCUCUUUGCUUUGAUGCAUAAACAGGGAGAUAGGUCUGAUGAUUUCACGCUUGCAACAGUGGUUAAGACAUGUGGUUCCUUGUUUGCAAUGAAUCAAGGAAAGCAAGUCCAUGCUUAUGCAAUCAAAUCCGGAUACAACUUAGAUCUAUGGGUCAGCAGUGGGGUGUUGGAUAUGUACGUAAAAUGUGGCGAUAUGAAGGCAGCACAUGUUGCUUUCAAUUGCAUUGCUGCGCCGGACGAUGUUGCUUGGACAACUAUGAUAUCAGGAUGCAUAGAGAACGGAGAAGAAGAGCGAGCUUUCCAUGUGUAUAGCCAGAUGAGACUCAUGGGAGUGUUACCUGAUGAGUUUACAAUAGCCACACUUGCGAAAGCAAGUUCUUGUUUAACAGCAUUAGAACAGGGGCGUCAGAUUCAUGCAAAUGCCCUCAAGCUGAACUUCUCAGGUGAUCCUUUCGUUGGAACUUCACUUGUGGACAUGUAUGCUAAAUGUGGAAGCAUCGACGACGCUUUUUCUUUGUUUAAAAGGAUUGAGAUGAGGAACAUCGCCGCCUGGAACGCGAUGUUGGUAGGAUUAGCUCAACAUGGGGAAGGCAAAGAAGCGCUCCAGCUUUUUGAACAGAUGAGAUCUUUAGGUAUAAAACCUGAUAAGGUCACCUUCAUCGGUGUUCUCUCUGCUUGCAGUCACUCAGGUUUAGUAUCCGAGGCAUACAAGCAGAUCAAGUCAAUGGAUCGAGACUACGGAAUUAAACCUGAAAUAGAACACUACUCUUGUUUAGCUGACGCGCUUGGCCGUGCUGGACUUGUCCGAGAGGCUGAGAAACUGAUCGAGUCGAUGUCCCUGGAAGCUUCAGCGUCAAUGUACAGAGCUCUUCUUGCAGCUUGCAGAGUUCAAGGGGACACAGAGACAGGGAAGAGAGUGGCCACUAAGCUUUUGGAGCUAGAGCCAUCGGAUUCAUCAGCUUAUGUGCUUUUAUCAAACAUGUACGCUGCUGCUUCCAAAUGGACCGAGGUGAAACUUGCCAGGACGAUGAUGAGAGGGCAAAACGUGAAGAAAGACCCUGGUUUCAGUUGGAUCGAGGUGAAAAACAAGAUCCAUCUAUUUGUUGUGGACGAUAGAUCAAACCCUCAAGCCGAGUUGAUAUACAGGAAGGUUAAAGAUGUGAUCAGAGACAUCAAGGGGAAGCAAGUUCAUUCUAUGGCAUUGAAGUUGGGUUUUGAUUUGAUGCUCACUGUGGCGAAUAGUCUAAUAAACAUGUACUGUAAGCUGAGAAAAGUCGGCUACGCUAGGACUGUUUUUAACAGUAUGAGUGAACGAGAUUCGAUUUCGUGGAACUCAGUUAUCUCCGGGUUUGCUCAAAGUGGCCUAGAAGUGGAAGCAGUGUGUCUGUUUAUGGAGCUCUUACGUUGUGGCCUCACACCAGACCAUUAUACCCUAACCAGUGUUCUAAAAGCAACUUCUUCUCUCUCGUUGAAUAAACAAGUUCAUGUUCAUGCAAUUAAAACCAAUAACGUUGGUGACAGUUUUGUCUCUACUGCUCUGAUAGACGCCUACUCUCGGAACAAGUGUAUGAAAGAGGCAGAGGUUUUGUUCUCGAGGAACAGUUUCGAUCUCGUCGCUUGUAAUGCUAUGAUGUCUGGUUACACCCAGAGUAAUGACGGCGACAAGACUCUGAAGCUCUUUGCUUUGAUGCAUAAACAGGGAGAUAGGUCUGAUGAUUUCACGCUUGCAACAGUGGUUAAGACAUGUGGUUCCUUGUUUGCAAUGAAUCAAGGAAAGCAAGUCCAUGCUUAUGCAAUCAAAUCCGGAUACAACUUAGAUCUAUGGGUCAGCAGUGGGGUGUUGGAUAUGUACGUAAAAUGUGGCGAUAUGAAGGCAGCACAUGUUGCUUUCAAUUGCAUUGCUGCGCCGGACGAUGUUGCUUGGACAACUAUGAUAUCAGGAUGCAUAGAGAACGGAGAAGAAGAGCGAGCUUUCCAUGUGUAUAGCCAGAUGAGACUCAUGGGAGUGUUACCUGAUGAGUUUACAAUAGCCACACUUGCGAAAGCAAGUUCUUGUUUAACAGCAUUAGAACAGGGGCGUCAGAUUCAUGCAAAUGCCCUCAAGCUGAACUUCUCAGGUGAUCCUUUCGUUGGAACUUCACUUGUGGACAUGUAUGCUAAAUGUGGAAGCAUCGACGACGCUUUUUCUUUGUUUAAAAGGAUUGAGAUGAGGAACAUCGCCGCCUGGAACGCGAUGUUGGUAGGAUUAGCUCAACAUGGGGAAGGCAAAGAAGCGCUCCAGCUUUUUGAACAGAUGAGAUCUUUAGGUAUAAAACCUGAUAAGGUCACCUUCAUCGGUGUUCUCUCUGCUUGCAGUCACUCAGGUUUAGUAUCCGAGGCAUACAAGCAGAUCAAGUCAAUGGAUCGAGACUACGGAAUUAAACCUGAAAUAGAACACUACUCUUGUUUAGCUGACGCGCUUGGCCGUGCUGGACUUGUCCGAGAGGCUGAGAAACUGAUCGAGUCGAUGUCCCUGGAAGCUUCAGCGUCAAUGUACAGAGCUCUUCUUGCAGCUUGCAGAGUUCAAGGGGACACAGAGACAGGGAAGAGAGUGGCCACUAAGCUUUUGGAGCUAGAGCCAUCGGAUUCAUCAGCUUAUGUGCUUUUAUCAAACAUGUACGCUGCUGCUUCCAAAUGGACCGAGGUGAAACUUGCCAGGACGAUGAUGAGAGGGCAAAACGUGAAGAAAGACCCUGGUUUCAGUUGGAUCGAGGUGAAAAACAAGAUCCAUCUAUUUGUUGUGGACGAUAGAUCAAACCCUCAAGCCGAGUUGAUAUACAGGAAGGUUAAAGAUGUGAUCAGAGACAUCAAGCAAGAAGGGUAUGUUCCUGAGACGGAUUACACACUUGUGGAUGUGGAGGAAGAGGAGAAAGAGAGGGCGUUGUACUAUCACAGCGAGAAGCUGGCUGUUGCUUUCGGGCUUAUGAGCACUCCUCCAGCAACACCGAUCCGUGUCAUAAAGAAUCUUCGCGUCUGUGGAGAUUGCCACAAUGCGAUGAAGUAUAUAGCGAAAGUGUAUGGUAGAGAGAUUGUACUGAGAGAUGCAAACCGGUUUCACAGGUUCAAGGAUGGUAAAUGCUCAUGUGGUGAUUUUUGGUAGUUUGGAAGGUUGGACAGAGAUUAAGUUUUUGAUUUACUCUAGGCCUGGGCAUAAUAUCCGAAAUCCGAACCGAACCCGAACCGAAAAACCCGAUGCGUAUCCGGUCCGAAAUGUAAAAAAUAUCCGAAUGAGUCUUGUAAGGUGAUACAAAACAUACCGAAACCGAAGUGUUAUUAACCGAACCCGAACAGGUAACCAAAAAAUCGAAAAACGAAUAAUCCGAAAAAAUAUCCGAAGAAAUUGAUCCGAAUGUCCAAAAUAAUAUACAAUAUAAUUAUAUGAAACAUGAAUAUAUACUUCAAAUAUUCAAUUUCAUAUUUAUUUUGAUAUGUUAUCUAACAAUAAGUAUUUAAAAUUUAAAUAAUUACCUUAAAUACUUAAUUAUAUAUAAAUAAAUAAUAAAUAUUUAUUUCUUAUGUUUUACUUUUAAAUUUUAGAUUUUAUUUCAGGUAUAUCCGAACCGAUCCGAUAUAACCCGAAUCCGAAUGAUAUAUGAUUACUUUAUGGGUUUUAUGAUGUGAUACAAAACCGACCCGAACCCGAUGUGUUAUAUCUGAACCCGACCCGUACUUACAAAUUUACUAGAAUGAGACAUAAGAGGUGUUAUAAAAGAGAACUGAAAUCCGAAAAACCUGACCCGAACGUCCAGGCCUAAUUUACUCAAUAGAUUGUAAUUCAAGUUACACUGCAUUAUCUUGAGAAGAAUACACACAAGUAUCUUGUUUCCAGCUCCUCCAACGCAGUUUAUGUCUCCUUUCUCCUGUAUUUCUCCAGUAUAAAUCAUGAGACAUCGCAGGAGGCAACAUCUUUAGUCUUCUUGCUAUCUAUAAAUAAAGUAUAUAUUUCUUCUGAAUAAUCAGUAAGUGAUUUUAUUUUUGAGGCUGUGUGGGUCAAAUAAAGAAAUACAACAUUCUCCUUCUACUUUGAUUAGUACUGGUAUGCUAUCCUAUAAAAAAAGAGUUUCUCAAUGGAGCUGUUUCAAAGAGACAAUGUCAUUGAGAAACAUUAAGUGGUCAAGCGUCAUCAUCGACUGGAUUCUUUUGAAUCAGCUUGCUUUGUUUGAAUCAGCUCACUAUCAACCUCCAACAUGCGAGUGAGAAUUUUACCAUCUAAAUUCUCCUGUUUGAAUACAUGAAAAAACAAAACUACUCAGAAAGAGAAGUUUAUGGAAUUGAUUAAGAUGAUCAGACAAAAACAUGAAUAGAGCUGAAGAAGAAGAAGAAGAAGAGAAGUAGAGUGGGUGAGUUACCGAGAGACAGUCUCUGUACUUAUUCCACUCAGCAACACACUCUUCUUUAUCCCAUUGCCCUUUAACAAACUUCUCUGAGUACCAUCUGCAGAAUCAAAGAUAAAAGGAUGCAACUUUCAAUGGUUUUGGAUCAGAGUUAUACACUAACCAAAAGAUUUCAUAUAAAGGGAAGUACUUGAAUCAAAAGACCAUAUAUUUCCAUUUUGGUUCACCAUUGCUAGCUACUAAACACUUAAACAAACACUAGAGAAAGGAAAAAGGAAAACUCACUUAUUGAAGCAGUUGUGGUAAGCAGUUCGCAAAUCUGCGCAGGGAGAAGUAGAGGAGCGAGUUGAAGUUGAAUCCUUUUUCUUCAACAAGCCCAUUGUUUCAAUCACUUGUGACUUUUGAGCUUAGUACCUAUAUACGUAGUUCAAAAACUUAUUAUCAAUUCGAAGAAAUAAAGAAAAAUGUGAAACACAAGAAUCUUAUAAAAGCUUCAUCAAGAAGCAUGGAUCCUUUCACAAUGACGAAAGAAUUUUAUUUGUCAAAAAUAUUGUACUCAUGAUUAAUAUAAUGAUCUCUCUUCAAAGAGCAAACAAACAUACAUCAAAUAUAGAUGAAAGUCAAGAAGGAGAAAUGUUACCCUGAACAGAUCGGAACAGGUGGAAGACUAAAUUUGAUUAGACAGGACAAAGAAGAAGAAGAUGUCUGAAUCUAAACCCGUAAACCUCAGCCUCGACGACGCCUGAAGCUUCGGAGAUCGGAGGAGUGUGGGAAAAUCCAAACGACGCCGUUUUACGGCAGAUAAAAGCACUAUGCAAAGCCCAUUAGCAGAUUGAGCCCAGACUGUUUAGGCCUGUUUAUUCUCGUGGGACCAACAUUGUCAACGUCAAACGUUACACGAACUGGAAUCACUUCUGGUCAUGUCAUUAUCGAGCGUGGCGUUACAUCAAACUCUUUUUUUUUUUGCAUUUUUUUUUUUGUUUAAGGUUAAGCCCUUUACUUUCGGCUCUAUAUAUAAAGCCUCCCUCCGUAAGAGAAAAAAUAACACACACAAUAAUCAUUCCUUUGCACGAAAAUGGAUAAGUUCAAAGGUCAACCUCGUCUCCCCAAGUUCGCCGUCCCAAAACGAUACGAUCUCCGUCUCAUCCCCGAUCUCAUCGCCUGUACUUUCACCGGAACAGUCUCCAUCGAUGUAGAUAUUGUCGCAGAUACUCGCUUCAUUGUUCUCAACGCAGCUGAUAUCUCAGUCAAUGAUGAUUCCGUCUCCUUCACGCCUCUUACCUCCUCUAAGGUAUAUAUACAACGCUCAGCUGAUCUAUUCCGAUAAAUGUGGUUAGGUAUCACGUUCUUGUUGAGUUGUGCUGUUACAUAUAUUUUCAUGAUUAGCUUCUCGUUUUGACCUUCAGUCAGCUGUCAUGUGGAUUGGAUUUAACGGAGAAAAUAUUUGAUUGUGUUGAAUUUAUCGUUACAUACUUCAUAUAUAUAUUAUCCAGACAGUAGAAUCAUUUAUAUCUUCUUGUCUGAAACUCAAGGGAUUUAAUAUGCUUUUUUUUUUUGUUGUUGUUAAGCAGGCCCUUGCAGCUCCGAAAGUUGCUCUCUUUGAAGAGGAUGAGAUUCUGGUGCUCGAGUUUGCUGAGAUUCUUCCCCAUGGAGUUGGAGUUCUACAACUUGGGUUCAGUGGUAUACUCAAUGACAAACUGAAAGGAUUCUACAAAAGGUAGUAAAUGUUUAAGAAAUUUAAAUUGAUAUGGGUUAGUCGGACUAACUUUUUUUAUCCUUGGUGCAGCACCUAUGAACAUAAUGGUGAGAAGAAGAAUAUGGCAGUUACUCAGUUUGAACCAGCUGAUGCUAGGAAAUGCUUCCCAUGCUGGGAUGAACCUGCUUGCAAGGUUUAUAUUCUGCAUGUUCUUUCUUUUUGCAUCUUCUUUCAUCAGCAUGAGGAUAAUAAAAGUGGUGUAUUAUUUUUUCUUAUGUCUUUAUCUAUCUAUAUUGACACAUUUUGUGACAGGCUACCUUCAAGAUCACACUAGAGGUGCCUACUGAAUUAGUGGCUCUCUCUAAUAUGCCCAUUGUGGACGAGAAAGUUGAUGGGAAUGUAAAGGUUGUAUCCUAUCAAGAGUCACCAAUCAUGUCUACAUAUUUGGUAGCCAUUGUUGUUGGUUUGUUUGACUACGUGGAAGAUCAUACAUCCGAUGGUAAUAUAUAUUCAUUUUAUCCCCUAUUAUCUUCCAUAUUGUUAAAGGACUAAAUCAAGUUUCAUAUUUUGCACAGGGAUCAAAGUGAGAGUGUACUGUCAAGUGGGCAAAGCUGACCAAGGGAAAUUUGCAUUGCAUGUUGGUGCAAAAACUUUGGAUCUGUUCAAAGAGUAGGUCCCUUCAUCAACUUUUAGGCUUGUGUGAUAUUCAUUGUAAAAUUACUCCAAAUAUUCUUGCAGGUACUUUGCUGUGCCAUAUCCUCUUCCCAAAAUGGAUAUGAUUGCGAUACCGGAUUUUGCUGCUGGAGCUAUGGAGAAUUAUGGUUUAGUAACAUACCGUGAAACUAUUCUUCUCUAUGAUGAGCAACAUUCAGCAGCUUCUAACAAACAAAGGGUACUGUAAACAUGUCUUUUUGAUUCUAUAGAGAAGAUUUUCUUGUGCUUGUAUAUCUAAAGAAUUUAAUUUUCUGCUGCUAGGUUGCGACUGUUGUUGCCCAUGAACUGGCCCAUCAGUGGUUUGGCAAUCUCGUCACUAUGGAGUGGUGGACUCAUCUGUGGCUGAAUGAGGGUUUUGCUACUUGGGUACAUUUCAACUCUAGUUCUUUUGUAUUAACAAUGGUAUUGAGUUUUGUUGUGAGUUUACUGUUACUCUUUAUCUAUUUCAGGUCAGCUACUUGGCUACUGAUAGUUUGUUCCCUGAGUGGAAAAUCUGGACCCAGUUUUUAGAUGAAUCUACUGAGGGUCUAAGGCUAGAUGGGCUUGAGGAGUCUCACCCAAUAGAGGUAACCAAAAUAAGUAUAUAUGUUAUUAAGUGUGACACUUAUUCUGAGAAAUGUUGUCAAUAUAUAUCUUAUGAAAGCUUAGAACCUAUUACCUAAUUAUCAUGAAUCUUAACUUUUUCAGGUGGAGGUUAAUCAUGCUUCUGAAAUUGAUGAAAUAUUUGAUGCUAUAAGCUACAGGAAGGGUGCAUCUGUCAUCCGCAUGCUUCAAAGCUAUCUUGGUGCUGAAGUUUUUCAGGUUCUGCUCAUGCCCAUUUUUAUUCUCUUACAAAAGCAAUUUUAGGACUAUUGAGCUCUAACGUCUCCAAAAUUUCUUACCCUACUUUGGUGAGCAGAAGUCGCUUGCUGCAUACGUAAAAAAUCACGCUUACUCAAACGCAAAGACAGAAGACCUCUGGUCUGCUUUGGAAGCAGAAUCAGGAGAACCUGUGAACAAGCUCAUGAGUUUUUGGACAAAACAAACUGGAUAUCCUGUUGUCUCAGCCAAAAUCACAGAUGGAAAAUUGGAACUUGAGCAGGUUCAUACACUCAUUUCCCUUGCUGGAUGUAUUACUUAUAAGCGUUUUAACCUCCACUUAGGUUGGAGGCUCAUUAUGAUAUCUUUUGUAUGAUCAACUAACUAUAUUUAAUGUUUAAAUUACAGUCUCGUUUCCUGUCAAGCGGUUCUCCUGGGGAAGGACAAUGGAUUGUGCCUGUAACUUUGUGCUGUGGUUCAUAUGACAUGCGCAAAAACUUCUUGUUGGAAUCCAAAUCUGGAGUGUAUGAUCUAAAGGAGUUAUUUGGCUGCUCCAUUGCUGAUGGUGCAUGGAUAAAAAUCAAUGUCGAUCAGGCUGGAUUCUACAGGGUGAAAUAUGAUGACACCCUUGCCGCUGGACUCAGAAAUGCAACAGAGAACCAAAGCUUGACCUCUAUUGAUAGAUAUGGUAAUGCAACCUUUUAAAGUUUUGUUUUCUGGUUGACAUAAUUGAACUUCUUUGGAGAUGAAAUAACAUUUUUUCUUUCACAGGUAUUUUGGAUGAUUCUUUUGCACUUUCUAUGGCUCGUCAGCAGUCUCUGGCCUCUUUGCUCACUUUGAUUAGUGCUUACAAGAAGGAACUUGACUAUACUGUUCUGUCAAACCUCAUUGUUGUAAGGAUUCUCUUUUUGUCUUUAAUUUUCCCUGGUUCAUGUCCUCUGGCUCUUACCCUUCCUCCAUACAGAUAAGCUACAAAGUUGUGAAGAUUUCAGCAGAUGCAAAUCUUGAACUGAUGUCUGAGAUUAAACAACUUUUCAUCGGUGUUUUCCAGUUUGCUGCUGGGUAAGUUCUUUUACCCAUCUACAGAAUUUAGACUAAGAUUAUAUGUUUUAUUACCAAUGAAAAUGGAAACGAUGUUGUUACAAUGUUCUUUGUUGUUACAGGAAACUAAGUUGGGAGCCAAAACAAGGGGAGAGCCAUCUAGAUGCUAUGCUGAGAGGGGAAGUUCUAACUGCACUUGCUGUGUUUGGGCAUGAUGAGACACUAACGGAAGCAACUCGGAGAUUUGAUGCAUUCUUAGCUGAUAGGAACACUUCACUUCUGCCUCCUGACCUUAGAAGAGUUUGUUCCUUAUAACAUAAUCCAAUUAAACUUUAAAUUGGAAAUGGUGACCUUAUGAUUGAUUGAACUGUGUGUUUGGCAGGCUGCUUAUGUUGCUGUAAUGCAGAGAGCCAACAAGUCAGACAAGUCUGGUUACGAGUCUCUUCUGAGAGUUUAUAGGGAAACAGAAAUGAGCGAGGAGAAAACAAGAAUCCUAGGUAACUAAUCUCUCAAUAGAAAAAAAGAAUUUAAAUUAGUCAUUUCAACUGCUAAUGUUUUUUUUUUUGCAGGUUCUUUAGCAUGUUGCCCUGACCCCAGUAUUGUUCAAGAUGUUCUUACCUUUGUAUUGUCUGAUGAGGUAUAUACAUAGUAAUGAUUUUACUUUCAACUCUGUAUAUUAGUGAAUAAUCAAUAUUAUUGAUAAUUGUCCAGGUCCGUAAUCAAGAUGCACUUUAUGGGCUCUACGAUGUAAGUUGGGAAGGACGUGAAGUAGCCUGGAAAUGGCUGCAAGAGAAGUGGGAGUACAUUGAGGAGACAUGGGGUUCCGGAUUUCUCAUAACACGCUUCAUAAGUGCACUUGUAUCUCCGGUUUGUUAUUCUUUCAUUCGUCCAUAAACAUCUCUUGAUUUUUUAUGUUCUGUCAUUGAUUCCUCGUUUAUGUCCAUUUGUCUCAGUUUGCCUCGUUUGAGAAAGCGAAAGAAGUGGAGGAGUUUUUUGCAACGAGAUCAAAGCCUUCUAUGGCAAGAACCUUGAAGCAGAGCAUUGAAAGGGUUCAUAUUAAUGCUAAUUGGGUGGAGAGUAUCAGGAAGGAAGACAAUCUCACUCAGCUAGUUGCUCACCUCUCUUCAAACUAAAAGUUUUAACUCUUUUCAUGUUGGGUUAUUAUCUCCCUGAGUUAACUAGAAAAACAUGUGUGCACUAUGCAAACCUUUGUUGUUUCUUCUUCUCAACACAGAAUGAAGUUUCUUUCAAAACUUGGCAUCAAUGAAGUUUCCUUUCUCUAUAUACUGUACAGCUUUUGAGGAUGAUAAGGGCCAUUGAUUACUAGUUUUAUCUGCAGGAAUAAAUCUUGGUUCAUUCUCUGUAAAGCAACUAACGACCAAGCUGCAUUAAAGAAGAGAGAAAUCAGAGUUAUAUAUGCCAGUGCCAUGCUAUCUUCAAAAAUUUCUAACACAAAAAUCAAUAUACUUGCUUUUGUGACUAUUACCAUUACCAUUACCAGUCACUCUGUCUCAAGUUGAAUCUCUAAAACAUAAAAGUUCAAAAAAAAUAUUUUUAUGUUUGAAUAAUCGUUUAGCACAAAAUUCAAAAAUCUUGCAUUUUGCUAUAGUCUAUAGGUAGUUUUGUAUGUAUAACUUAACGCUUCACUGAAAUCAAGACUAAGAACAAUAAUAUAUAUAUAUAUAUAUAUAUAUAUAUNNNNNNNNNNNNNNNNNNNNNNNNNNNNNNNNNNNNNNNNNNNNNNNNNNNNNNNNNNNNNNNNNNNNNNNNNNNNNNNNNNNNNNNNNNNNNNNNNNNNCGUGAAUUCCAAGCUUCGGAUCCCACUGUGCUGGAAAGCUGUUGUGCCGUUGGCGCUCCAUGACAAAGAGCAGCAACCUUGUGUUAUAUCAUUUGUGACAAAAAAAAAUAUAAGGGACAGAAUGGAACUGCCCAUCACUUUCAGGGUUGUUGCAGCAGCAGCAAGCCUAGACACAAAGAAGAGGUAGAAGAUCGACAUGCGUCUCCAAGAGAAACGGACCUGGUCAAUCCGCGACCUAGAGGAAUCUGAAUCCAUGGGGGCGGAGGAGGAGGCGGAAGAAGAGUAACCGCCGGAGAAGAAAAGUUUUUUUUUUUUUUUUUCCUUCUGAAUUUCAUUAGAAAUAAAAAUGCAAUGUUUUACAAACCUACAGCACACACGACAACAACCCUGAAAGUGAGCAAAACAAACCACAAUCAGACCUACAUCAACUACCACUUUGGAGCAAGAAUUAGAAGAACCGACUUUCAUUAACAAAGAACUCAAAAAGCCAUUUCGGAUGGCCCUCUUGCAACAUAUGAACGCACUCUUCUUUGCCUCGUCACGUUUUGAGCAAUAAAUGUCGCUCCUCUGUUCUUCUCCACCGUGAUACAUCUAAGCUGAUAAUCCUCCAUCAACAUUAUCAUGAUCCUCUUUGUACCCUUUUGGUUAGCAUAUUGAUAGUGUUUAAAAAAAAAAAGAUACACCGUGGAAUUGUUUCGAACCUAAAUGCUUAACUUCCCAAAUUCUAGAUGCUAUUAGACUAUCCAUGUCUGGUUUUGUUUUAAAAGUUUUUCCAUUGCUAAAAUAAAUAAUAUUUAAAUGCUAUAGGUUUUUUGAAAUAAUUUUCUUAAAAAAACAUUUGAAUUUCUAUUAAUAAUCUAUAGAAGUUUUAAUUUUAAAUUUAACUAUAUAAUUAAAUUUUAUAAAAGAGAACAACUUGCAUUAUGGACUUCCACUUAUGGAAACCUGCAUGGUCAGGGCCAGGGGAUGGUUCGACAUAUCUUAAAACUGAUCAUAGAUAUUUGAAAACUUCACACUAUAACUUUUAACCAGAUAUAUAUGGCAGCAUCUAUAUUGUAUGUAUAAAAGAAACAAAUAAGAUCUUGGAACCGUACCAUUAUUAUCCGACUCUAUAACACUUUCAAAGCGAAAGGCUCGAGCUCUGUUUUAGAGAACCACAGUGCUGGUUUCUUGGGAGUACACAUCCUUUGACCUGAGUUUUAAUGUGAAAAUUGUUAUGAUUUUGAGAAGCAACACAGACUCAUUCAUUAAUACCAGCAAUGAUAAAAAAAAGUCUUAGAACAAUACAUACUGAAAAUGGAGAGAAUAAGGAUUAUGAUAAACAAGAAACAGAAGUCAUCCUAUCCCAGCGGAAUAAGCUUAAACUCGUUUCAAGUUAUGAGAGAUUGCGUAAAAUAAUAACGUCAAUCUGAUUGAAUGGGAAUUACAGAUCGAAGAUACUAAAGAAAGAUCACAUAAUGCAUGAAAAGCAAUAGGAAAGAGAGUUGAGAAUUCGUGAGUACCUCCGGGGGUAAGAAAUUGCUUCUUCCAUUACGAAAGCAUCCACAGAUAACAGAGUUCCACAUAAUCAACAAGCUAAGAGCGUUGCUAGUGUGUAUUUGCUAGGCUUUGCCUCAACGAAAGAUAAGGCUUAUUCACUCCGGCGGCCAACUCGAGCCAAACCAGUUAAUAAAACAUUCCAUGAAAUCUCAUCCCUUACUUCACUCAUCUGACUGGAACAAAACACUGGCGUUCUGCAAGGUACCAAGAAGUGUAUUGGCUCCAGUCACACUUGUGUUGUAUCCAUGUCGGUAGGUAAAACCAUGAGGCUUGCUUCCUCAUUUGAACAUCUGAAACACCUGAGCAGACAUUCUAAACAGGCAUAUAAUUUUGUAUUACUCGUGGUAGUUCUCGUGAUAAAUAUGAUCAAAUGGCUUCCAAAACCAAAACAUGAUGCAGUUGCAAUCUCUUACUCAUCCAUCAUACUGUUAGUUUUUUUAGCUUUGAAUAUAUAUAUAAGAAAGGUAGAAAAAAAAAACAUUUGAGGAUUUGGGUGACAAACAAAAGGAAGAAUAAAACUUGAAAUCUCUCUCAAGCACGUCUUUUGCUGAGACGCCAUGAGUUAGGCUCGUGAUAACGAUCAUACAGAGGCUCAAUGCGUUCCUGGCGCUUACGCUUGCUCAUAUGGGUUGGAUCAGCCACUUUGAAAAACCUAGGAGCUAGCUCCACAAGCCACUUUGGGUCAAUCACGGUCACUUCUCUCAUGUACUCCUUGGUCGUCAUCACAAGAUCAUGAUAUAUCACCCAAUCUGGUUGUCUUUGGAACAAUGCACUGCCCGGGUGUAUGUAAACCGGUUGAUUCUCCACUAGCGUCCUGUAACCUUCCUGCGGAUCUUUUCUUGCUACAUGGAAGAAUAAUCCUGCUGUGAUUGCUUUCCUUAUCUUCGUGAAGUUCUUCCCCGAGCUUACCACGUCUAGUUUAUAUUUGUCCAUAAUGCUGAGAAGCUGUUUCCUCACGUCUUGAGCACGUCGUAAGGAUCGUGACUGUAUGAAGUUCUCAGAACACCAUGAGCCUGAGAAGUUCUUAGCCUUCCAAGCUUCAUAUACAGUUAGCAAUGUCAAGUGAUCACCUUCAGGCUGGAAAAACUUUGCCCUCUUCUGGUCUGCUUGAGCUUGCUUCUCUCUUGGUCUAUAAAAUAUGUUGUCCCCCUGGACCAUAGCAAUCAUCGUCAAAAUCUCAUCGCUGCACCCAAGAUCCACACUCGCUAGCAACAUCUUAGAGAGCGGUGGUUGGAGAGGAAACUCGGCCAUUUUUCUACCCAGCUUCGUCAACAGACCUUCCUCAUCCAAAGCUCCCAGGCUGUACAGCUGUUCCAUAGCAGAGAUCAAGGCUUGCGGUUGGGGUGGAUCCAUGAAGUCAAACGACAACAGGUCAUUGAUACCCAUUGCUUUCAUGGUAAGGGUUGUCAUUCCUAGGUUAAUCCUCUGGAUUUCAGGGAUUGAUGUAGGAGGCAUCUCAUUACAGUAUGCGCUCUUCGUGUAGAGACAGUAACAUUUCCCAGGACCAGUACGACCAGCACGCCCAGCUCUCUGCGUUGCCGAUGCCUGUGAGAUUGGGGUUAUGACAAGCGAAUCUAGUCCUUGCUUUGGAUUAUACACGUUCUGCUUUGCAAACCCAGGAUCAACAACAUAAUAUAUUCCAUCUAUUGUCAAAGAAGCUUCUGCAAUAUUUGUAGCUACAACUACUUUCCGGGUACCAGGAGGAGGAGGAUCAAAUAUUCUAGACUGCAUUUCACUAGGAAGGGCACUGUAAACAGGUAGUAUGAUGAGUUCAGGAACGUUUUUACCAAGAUUUUUCAUUCUCUCGUACAGAGACUGACAUGCAGAAUCAAUCUCUUCUUGUCCCGUCAAAAAGAGAAGAAUGUCACCCUCUGGCUCAGUCAAGUGAAUCUGAAGAACUGUGGUCAGGGCUGCACCCAAGUAAUCGCUUUCUGGCUGUUUGUUAUACAGAAUCUCUACAGGGAAGGUUUUUCCAGGAAUUGUAAAGAUUUUGCAGUCGAAGAAAUACCCAGAGAAUUUCUCUGCAUCUAAUGUGGCGGAUGUGACAAUCAGACGAAGGUCAGGCCUGCGUUUCAACAGCUUCUUGAGAAGACCAAACAACACAUCAGUGUUAAUUGUCCGCUCAUGAGCUUCAUCAAGCAUUACAACAGAGUACUGAGAGAGGUUUUCAUCAAUCAGAAUCUCCCUAAGAAGCAUACCAUCAGUCAUGUACUUGAUCAGCGUAUCUGGUCCAGUACAAUCCUCAAACCGAAUAGCAUACCCUACCUCCUCUCCCAAACGACAACCAAACUCCUCAGCUACUCUCUUUGCAACAGACAUUGCUGCGACCCUACGAGGCUGCGUGCACCCAAUCUUUCCUUUGGUAGUGUAACCUGCUUCGGCAAGAUACUGUGUCACCUGAGUCGUCUUGCCUGAACCAGUUUCACCAAUGACCACCAACACUUGAUUAUCAUGCACAGCCUGUAUCAGCUCCGUUUUCAGCUUGUAUAUAGGAAGGCUCUCCCUUUGCUCCUGGAUAGAAAGCUUUGAUCUUUGUCCAAAAGUUGGAGUAUUCCCGAAAGCAUCCUUCUUCCACUCAGGCAUGUCAUAAGCAGAUAAUCCAACACCUCUAAGCUCCUGUGCAAGAUGCCUUUCACCAGUUUCAGGCAUAGGAUCUUCCCAAGGACGAUUCAGAUCCUUGGGGAUAGAGUCAAGAAUUGUUCUUUGCUGCUGAUCCCCCAUUUCUCUCCUCUCCUUGGUGAGCGCAGACUGAAGUGCAGCAGCACGACUCAAGGAGCCUUGUGGAUUUCUGAAGAUCUUGACAGGAGACAUGUCAGCAGAGCACCUGGUCUGCCCUUGUAAGAAAGCAGGUUCUUCUUCGUUCAUCUCAAUCUCGAACUCUUGUUCAGCACCUUCCUCCUGAUAAAGCAUCCCAACUCCAUCCUCAUCAUAAUAAUCAGGAAAGUCAGUGGCUUUCAGAGCACCAGAAGCAAUGAUCUGCUUCGCUUCCCAUCUCUCAGGGGAGCUCAUCUUCUUCUUCAGUGGCCUCCUACGUGAAGGACGCUCCUCUUCAAGAAUCCGGAUCCCUGAAAUCCCAGACUUGGUAUCCUUUGUUCUAAAAGAUGGAUUACUCCUCCUGGCUGAAUCUGAAUAGUCUCUACCCGUGUUCUGAUCAACAUCCUUCAUGGAAAGACUAUACUUAGCACCACCCUCUUUGACAGAUAAAACUUUGACAUACACUUGCAUAUCCCGCUUCUUCACCAAACUCUCAGCCCCCAUCUGAGAAACAUGAACUAGACCUUCUUUCCCUCUGAACCUAUCAAACUGAACAAAGCAGCCAGACUCCAUCACCCUAGUCACUCUACCUUUGUAAACCUGAUACAACUCAGGCUCGUUCGCACCACCCCUACCACGUGAUCUCCCCCUCCUAUACCUAUCACCACGUGAUCUUCCUCCCCUAUGUCUAUGCCGAUCCCUUCUAUCAUCUCGAUCCUCCUCUCUCUGAGCUUCCCUCUCGAGCUCCUUGACCUUAUCCUUAGUAUCCUUAAUCGCUAAGCCCUUGAAUCUCCUUUUCUCCUCGGAUUUGGGCUGCGGAGGGUAGAUCCCGUGGAUUAAAGUUAACAGCGACCGGACGAAAUAAUCAGGAAGCUCUGCGUCGUCCUUCUUCAGCUUCUUAUCGAGUUCAUCGGCCGUCUCGGAGUUGCGGCCCAGAUCGAUGAUGUACUCGGCUAAAUCCUUUGGCGCUACAGCAACUACAUGCGUUUCCAACUCGUUGCAGAUGUUGGAGACGAGAGAUAGGUGCUUUAGUUUGUUCAUGGCGGCGCCGAUCAAUCAAUGAAACAAUCCAAGAACAAGUUUGUUUAUUUCUCUCGAUAGAUUUCUAGGGUUUCUCUUCUUUUCACUCUGAUAUUUCUUGUUUUGGGUUUCAUCUAAUUAUAUAGGGAUUACAAAAACUGCCAUUGCCUUUUUCAACACGUCGGUUUACUUUCUUUUUUUCCUUUUUGUUUCUUUUUUUUCAUUUUUCUUUGUCACUAUCACGUCGGUUUAUUAUUAAACCAAUGAAAUCUUAUAUAUCUAAAUUAUUAAAAGAAAAACACCUAUUUGAAAAUGUUCUUACUUUAUUAAUUAAACUUCUUUUUUUUGCUUGUCUUUUUCAAUUGCAUUUAUGAAAUAUCCUAAAACGAAUAAAACAGCCUAAUUUAUUACUUGUCUUUUCAGUUAUAUUAAUGAAAUAUGUUUAAAUGAAUUUAAACUUCCUAUUUUAUUGUUUGUCUUUUUCAGUUACCUUAAUGAAAUAUCCUUAAAUAAAUUUGGACAUAAUGUCAUUUAAUCAACCAAAAAAACUCAUGAGUUAUCCUUACAUGCAUAAUUUUCAUAACGGAGAUUUUUAAAAACGUGCAUCAUUAAAAUGUUACCUAAAAUAUGCAGCACUAAUAUAUAACAUGCAUCAAUAAAACGAAAAUUUGACUCACACAAUUGUACGGAUAUUAUUUUCAGUUGAUUAAAUUUAAAAAUAAUUAUUUAUUCAAAAAAAUUUAAGAAUGGCUAUGUUUUAAAAAUUAUAUGGUAUUAUUUGCUCAUAAAUCAUUUGUCAUUUGAUAAAUUGUUAGAAAGAAAAUUUUAGCAUAAUAUAACUCAGUUGUCAUUUGCUANNNNNNNNNNNNNNNNNNNNNNNNNNNNNNNNNNNNNNNNNNNNNNNNNNNNNNNNNNNNNNNNNNNNNNNNNNNNNNNNNNNNNNNNNNNNNNNNNNNNNNNNNNNNNNNNNNNNNNNNNNNNNNNNNNNNNNNNNNNNNNNNNNNNNNNNNNNNNNNNNNNNNNNNNNNNNNNNNNNNNNNNNNNNNNNNNNNNNNNNNNNNNNNNNNNNNNNNNNNNNNNNNNNNNNNNNNNNNNNNNNNNNNNNNNNNNNNNNNNNNNNNNNNNNNNNNNNNNNNNNNNNNNNNNNNNNNNNNNNNNNNNNNNNNNNNNNNNNNNNNNNNNNNNNNNNNNNNNNNNNNNNNNNNNNNNNNNNNNNNNNNNNNNNNNNNNNNNNNNNNNNNNNNNNNNNNNNNNNNNNNNNNNNNNNNNNNNNNNNNNNNNNNNNNNNNNNNNNNNNNNNNNNNNNNNNNNNNNNNNNNNNNNNNNNNNNNNNNNNNNNNNNNNNNNNNNNNNNNNNNNNUAAAACAGAAGUAACAACUUUGUUUCAUGUGUGAUUUUUUAAAAAAUGGACCUAAUGAACAUAUUCCAAGAAAGUCAUGUUAUAUUUAAUCUCUAAUCUUAUCAUUUAAAUUUUGGGCCAACCUGAAAUUUUUAUUGGGCUAUCAAUAAUUGGAUUUAAACAAUAGAUGAUCCAUUGGAUUUAUAGAUAGUAUAUUUAAUUAUUACUCGAUAAUAUAAAUCUAUGAAGCGAAAAGUUUAAUUUUUUAAAAACUUUCUAAAUUUGUGAAAUGUUACAAUAUCUUUGAAUAUGACGGCAAAACAAUAUUUUACUAAUCUUUCUAUAUAUAGUUACGAUUUUAAUAAUGAAAUAAUAAUCCGAAAAUAUAUAUAUAGAUGAAGAUACAAAUACAUGUGAAAGUUUGAAACAAUCUAUUCAAUAAAAAAAAUAUACCUUGAAUUUAUUAUGUUUUAAAAAUUGAGAGACACAUAUAUAUUAUAAUAUAUACCAAUUUAGAAUUGAAAAUAAAAUAUUUAUAUAAAAAUAAAUGAAAAAAAAAUUCGCGCGGUUGCGCAGAUCGAGAUGUAGUUAUAGUUAAACUAUCUGCCAAACCCAAAUUAUUUCUGGGUUUUUGUAUUGGCUGCAAAAUCAAAUCUUAUCUUUCCAAAAAUCACUUCACUAAUUUUAUAUCUAAUCUAUUAAUUUAAAAUCUUAUUUUUAUCGACGACGAAUGUUGUUAUUUAAAUUUUGGACCAUUUCAUUUUACUUAUGUUAAACACACGUUUUAUUAUAUUUACGUUAUAUGGUCAUACCCAUUUAUUUUCCACUUUACUAUAUUCGCUUUCUUCCUUAUUAUUAUAUCUAUCUUAAACAAAAGAAUGUUUUAUACACGAUAUAGCAUUCUAAAAAUAACAUUUAGUAAUUUUGUUUUCAAUUUUAUAAGAACUACAUUAUUGUCUAUUGAUUAUAAGUUAUCCCUUUUACAUCUUUACCUAGAUGAUAUAUAUACCAUGAACCAUGAGUAAUACUUAUUAUCAAUCUUAUAGAAACUUUAGUAAUGUCGACCGGUUGUAAUCUUGACCCAUUCAACAUUGCUUUAUCAAGAUGAACGGUGACGUCAGAUCCUAGCAGGGUGGCCCACGCAGAAAGACCACAAGGCACAAGAUAAGCAAGAGUUCGGGAGAUGCCAAGUCAUAUUCAAUCUAGAAACCCAACACAUGCGAACUCACAUUGGUGUAUAAUCAUGUCCAUGGUUAUAUAAUCAUAGUGAGGAUCAAAAUAGCGACUACGCGGUUGAUCAAAUUGAAAGGAAAAAACAAUGCAGUUUCUUAGCCAAGCAAUCAAGCAUAUAUAUAUACUUCCUCCGUUUCAAUAUAGAUGAUGUUUUAGAAGGUUUGUUUUGUUUCAAUUUACAUGAAAUUUUAAGAUUUUAAAGAAGUUUUGAGAUUUAAAGUUUAAUUUUAACUUUAUUGCAAACUGUUCAACCAAUUAGAUUUUACAGUCUUUUUUAUAAUUGGUUAACUGAUUUUAAAAUUAUAUCUUUAAAAUAUUUUUUUCGGGAAAUGUAAUUUUUUUAAUUUUUGUGCACUAUUACAAAACGUAUAGUAAGACGGAGAGAGUAUAGAUUAGAAGUUGUAAUUUAGAACCUACACGUCUAUAAUAAUCAUUUGAAGGCAUUCGGCCCAUUUGAGCUAUAUUGUGGCAAUCUGGCCCGUUAAGCCCAUUACUUCAAACGCGACAAAUUCCUUUAGAAAUCGGCGUUUUAAAGGGAUCAAGCUGACCCACGGCGUCUCUAAGCUCCCCGAACCGACGAUUCCUUCCCUCCCUCCGAAGACAAAGACAAAGACAAUGGCGUCGAACAGCAGAGAAGCGAGGAGGCGAAAAAUCUUAGAAAGAGGAUCUGAUCGUUUGGCCUUUAUCACUGGUCAGAUCAACGGCGUUCCUCCUCCUCCACCUUCUUCCCUGUCUCAAUCUCAUCUCUCACCGGAGACGAUUCCGUCUCGUGAUGAGAUUCCUACUGAACGAGAAACAGGUUCUCUUUCUGUCUUGUCUCUCUAUGGAAUAUGACCACCCUCGAAUUGUUCGUACCGAAGUUCGAUUUCCGCUAUUGUUUGUGUCUUGGAUGAUUAGAUGCUAAGCGAUUACAUUAAUCCGCACUGAUUACGAAUUUUGUGUUCCUUCAGGCUUACCUUUACACUGCUUUUACUAAGAGGUUACUGAUGUACUUGCUGUAUCCACUUAUCUACAAGUGUCUGUUUUUUGCUUGCUUAACUUGUUAUAUUCUGAACAAGAGUCGUCAUAGGGGGUAAUUGGUUUCAAUGUGGUAGCAUCAUUUAAUAUGUUGUUGAUUCCAGUCUCUUAUAUAAGCAUUAUAUCAAGGAAAAAAACCUAGUGUGUUGGUUUUGAUGAUCCUGGUUCUGACAUUGCAGCUUUCACAAGUCAUCAGGAAAACAUCUCCGAGGCUUCGAUGCUUGAUAAUAUGGACCCUAUCAUCCAUCAAAGCAGAGCAGACUCUCUUCAGCCUCUCAAGUUUACUGAAUCAUUGGCUGAAGCCUCCGAUUCAGAUCCCAGAGACGCAACAAUACAACCGUCUCCUGCAACCCCAUCAUCAGUGGUAGAUUUGGGCGCUUCUCAAGCAUUUACUCCUCUGGUUAGUUUUGUGAACACCAUCACUCCAAAACACAUUGGAGCCGCCAUUGAUGCUUCGGAAUACGCACGGAUGUUCUCAUCUAUUCUGAUUGCGCUUCUUGUCGUGCUAUCUCAUCUCGGGUUCUCUUCCCUAGGCAGCAUAGUAAGCUUCAGACCUGUCUUCUUGCUUCUCUUGACCGAUGCCACAAUUGUGCUGGGGCGUAUUCUGCUGGGCCAUCAUGGAGAUCCUCCCUCAGCUUCAAGACGAGAAAACUCAGUAAUGAAUGGACUAGGCAUAGCGGACCAAGUGGGCAACGCGCUGGAGAUGGUCAUGAUGAUGAAGAAAAUAAUGAACGCUGUUUCUAUGGAUUUUAGCUUGUACGCUGUGUUUCUCAUAUGUGGCCUCUUGUUCACACAAAACAUCUUUGCUUAGGUCCUCUUUGUAGGUUUUUUUUUUUGGACAACAUGUGAUUUCUUAUUUAUUUCUCAUACUAUUACAGACUACGCUUAUGAUUCAUUAUGUUCUGUCUAUGGUUUUCAUCUUUUGAGUAGAAGAAGAUAUAAUGGGUGUUAUCAUCUUUUAAGUGCAGAGUUAUUGAAGCUAGAAGAUUUUGAUUAAAAGCAGAGAGUAAACGAGUAUAACUGUGAUGGUAUGGGCAUUAUCCAUCAGGUUUGCACUCACUCUUUCAAGCUUAGUCUAGCAUUUUGCACCUUGAGAGACAGCUGAAACUUGUGUUCUUCCAUAUCUCUCAAAAUAGACAGCAGGUUUGCUCGAUAAGCUUCGCAUCGCUGACCUGUCCUCUCCAGCUCAGCUGUCAGUUCAAGUAUGGUCCUCUCCUUUUCACCCUGACAUUGAAGUGGAUGAUACAUUCCAUUGGCCGUUUCUUGAGUUUCGUCAGACUGGUAAGAAUCCCCAUUAGUUGCUCCUCCUCUAGUUUUGCUACUUGCAGCAGCAACCUUCUUGGCAGCUUCAUCUAAGGCAACCACUGCAGCUUUAUAAAUCUGAAUAGACUUGGCUCCCUCCUCCACAUACUUGGUUGCUUCUUGGCGGAGAUUGUCAUAGCAAACAGUUAAGGACUCUUGGCAACUACUGUUUGAAAACUCGCUACUACUCUUUGCUUCCUUGGUCCAUCUCCUUAGCAGAUACCUAGACGGAAGAGUAAAAACAUUCCUGGCACUGAACACAGCCAAUAUAUCCUACUAUAUAAAAGGGACUAAAUUCAAGGCUUUUGAGACUAUCCACCUCAGCCAAAAUAUUCUCAUCCAAAAAGAAUUAAAAAUAAAUAUCAUUUAGAAGAUAAUUAACUAAUAUAAAACUUUUGAUAUUUCUAAAAAUUUCAAAUUUGUAACUGCUAAUUUAUUAAUAGAAUCAUAUAUCUAUAUUGAAUUAUGUUCUAUUUUUAAUCGUUACUUUAAGAGUAAAUAAAUUAUUAAUUUAUAAUAUAUAUAUAGUUUAUAACUUUAUAUUGUAGUUAUAAAUAAAGAGAAAAUAACCGGGAAAAGUGAAGAAGCUCAUAUAAAAUUAUGUAAUUAAAAUGGUAUAAUGGUGAAUAUGAUGAAGUGAAUCUAAGAAAAUUUGUUGUACAAAUUAUGGUGCUUUCUUCGUCCACUAUAAUGAUUAAAAUAAUAUAUAUUCAUAUAAAUAAGUCAAUAUUUGUUGUUUUUUUUGUAAGAUGUUAAGAUUAUCAUUUUCUGAAAGGUUACACUGAUCCAAAGAAAUUAGUUUGUGGAGCUAACCAAACGAGGAUUAUAGUGUUUACUUUGGAAAAAGUAAUAGGUUGAACGAUAGAUGGCGUGCGUGUUUUUUCACAUGGAAAUCUGCACAUAUAUUAAAAUUGUAAGGUUUGAAUCAUAGAGAAAAUAUAGUGUAUAUGACUGAAGUUGAUUCAUUCUGAAACUAAAGAUGGCUAAAAUUCUUCUUUGUCAAAAUGCAUAGAUGUGAAUCUUAUAUGAAUAGAAUUUUCAAUUGCUUAUAGCAGUGUAAUAAAUUCCGUGUGUAAAGGAAAAAAAAUGUUAUAUAAGUGAAAACAAAAAUUAUGAUUUUUUUCUUGUGCCUCGCAAUUUGAAGAAGAAAGAACAUAUUGUGUGAAAAUCUUUGGCUCGGUCAAAUUUUAUCGAGUUGUUUAUAAAACUGUUGUUAUAUGAUUCAUGUAAAUUUUCAGUGUUGAUUUAAAAGCCCAAGAAAACUCAUCUAUACUGACUUUUUGAUUUUUUUCUGUGAUUUAAAUUUAAAAAAGAUAAAACUUUCGAUAAGUUAUGUAAACUCAGAACAAGUAUUUAACUUUAGAAAGCAUUUACAUGUUUCAAACUUAUAAUAUAUACAUAUAUAAUGUUUAAAAUUAUGUAUAUAAAACCUGUAUAAAAUGUGCUUAAAUAUGUUUCUCUUCUUUAAUGUGUUAAUUGUACUAUAUAUAACAUUAUUUUAAAAUUUCAAAAAGUUUAUGUCACAUACAAAAACCAUCAAUAAAAAAUAUUAUUCUCCAUCUACAACCAGAAAAAAGAAAAACUAUAAACAUAUAAAUUUAAAUUAAGAAAAACUAACAUUGGAAAAACAAAAAAUUAAUGUAAAAGAAACAAACCGACAAAUAAUAUUAUAAAUAAAAUAAAUUUAUAAGACACAAUCCGCGCCAAGCGCGGAAAAAAUCUCUAGUGUCUACAAACAAUCCCCGAAUACUCAAACAUCCUACAGCUGCAAUUAGCUUUCACCUCCUCAAGAGACUCAAACUCAACAGUGUGACCUUGUCCGAACUUCCCCACACGAUAAGUGGAAUCACUCAUCUUAUUCACAGGAUUUGCGGAAAUCUCAACAAACUCCUCCUGAAACUUCAAAAACGCUGCUCUCGUAUACACUCCAGCAACUUGCUUCUCCGUGGGAGAAGCCGUCUUCAAAACAGGAGUAGAGUUAGUCGACUCAUAAUCAGCUCUCAGCUCUUUCACACGCCAGCUGUUAACAGCUUCCUCACACUGGGCCAUGAUCAUCUCCAUGGUGGUUGACCCGUCCACAAACCCGUGGAAGAAGGAGUUCUCACUAGACAGCUCUCCAAAAAAAGUGUCUUUAAUAAAAACAGGAACCCACUGCUGCCUCACAUUAUAAAUAGACUGAAUCCAAUGAUUCUCCUCGAGACAGUGUCUCCUCAAAACAGAGUCCCAAGCCCCCUCGAAGUCACUAACCGUCUCCGUCUCGGUAACACAGCUCAAGAACUCUGAUUGAAACCCGGGGUGAGACUGAAACACGUGAGCGAGCUUCUCCAUGAUAAGACGGAGGCUGAAACGAAGACGCGCCUGGGGGAAAACCUGAGAAGCGGCGAGGUGGAUCACGGGGUCAGGCUCGAGGGUGAUGGAAGGAGGAGGAUGAGGAGCGGACAUGGCUUGAAGCCAAGAGUGGAAGAGCCACGCGAAGGAGGAUUGUGAUUGGUUGAGGACGAGAGCGCAGCCGAAGAGGAGAGGGUGGCCGUGGUGGUUGAAGCCUGUCAAGGCAGCGAAAGGGACUUGAUUGUUUCUCAUGUAGGUAGUGUCGAAGACGAGGGUGUCGCCGAAGUGAGUGUAGUUCGACCUGCAAGUGGGAUCGGCCCAGAUAACGUUUCCGCCAUUGUCUUCGUUCUCCACUGCGUACGAGAAAGAAGGGUUCUCGAGGUGCUUGCGUUUCAGAUAGUUCAAGACGUGCUCCAAACUCAUUGCGGUAAGAACAAGGAACAAAAGUUGUAGAUGAUGAUGAUGACGACGAUAACCCUAGAACCUGUACUGUCGACGGAGUAAUCGAGAGAGAGAGAGAGAGAGAGAGAGAGAGAGGGGUUGCAGUAAACGGUGAGGCAAUGAAACAAUUUGGGCUUAUUAACUUGUUGGGCUUAGCCCAUUGAACAGGUAUAUUGAUGAGAAAUGAUUAAUAAAUAAUUUUUAUCUGUUAUAAGAUAAACUUUGAAACGAUCCUCCACUCCUUUACCAACUCAAGCACUAUGAUCAUCUACUUAUCAAGCACUAUGAUCAUCUACUCAUCAAGCACUAUGAUCACCCACUCAUUUACCAAAUCAAGCACCAUCUUUGAUAUUUUAUGUAUUGUUGCUCACUAUAAAUACCAUCACUCAUCUCACUCUUUUGUACACAAUUACAUCUUCUUCUUCUUCCUUAUAAUAAACUCUUUCUCUCAUAUUAAGUGUUAUUUGCUUCCUACGGGUAUUGAAUUCUACUCUUAUUUAAAUUUCCCGAUACUAUAAAUUAUAAGUUAUUUCAUAACACGUUAUCAGCACGAUCACUCUGCGAUUUGGUAAAAUUUAUUUGUAUCAUUUAUACCCUGUUAUAAUGGUCGGUAUACCGCCUCUACUAUUAUUUAUAUCAUGUUAUAAUGGCCGGAAUACCGCCUAUAUUAUUUACUAGUAAUUUAAUUUAUUUAUUGGUCGGCCGAGCCGCCUUAUAUCCUGUUUAUUAUUUAUUGGUCGGCUGAGCCGCCUUAUAUUCUGUUUAUUAUUAAUUGGUCGGCCGAGCCGCCGUAUAAUUUAUUUAUUAUUCUGCAUUGAUCGGCUGAGCCGUCGCAUGAUUUGUUGUCAUAUAACAUAAAUAUUUCAUUGUCAUAAUUUUUCACUUUUAUGAAAUUUUAUAGAUUUGAUUGACCGUUUAAUACGAUAUUUUCAGACUAAUUUUUGGUGCACUCGAUUUAACCCCAACGGUCACAAAGAAAAUUUUUCAAAAAUUUCCCCUUUCUCCAACGGUCAUGAACAGUAAUUUUCAUCUAUAAAUACAACUCAUUUUCACUCCAUUUCAUCAUCCAAAACAUUUCAUCUUCUCUCAAAAAUUUCAAAUCGCUCUCCUCCGAUUUUUCAUUUCAAGAAAGAUGAUUCGCGCACUUUUGUUUUUAUGUGCCAUUUUUAUUUGUGUUUCUAUUUAUGGUUCAUUCGUUGGAGAAUUUACUCCGAGUGAAUUUAAGAUGAAUAUCGGUUUAAUUUUAUUUACAUCGCUUCUCCUUGUAAUUGCUUGUAUGAUUAAUGUAAACGGUUUUUAAAUUAUGAAGUUCUAAUAAAAUUACUAUUUUGUGUUUUAGAAAUACAAAUGGCAAACAUCGAGAAACUCCAGUUCCCGGCUCUAAAAGUAACCGGCGAAAACUAUGUCAGAUGGGUCACAAAUGUGAAACCUUAUCUUGUAAUAAAAAAGAUAUCUGAAGCUAUAAAAGUCGGUAACAAAUCGCCACCCGAGCAUAUAGCUGAGGCGAUAAUCUUCCUGAAGAAGCACUUAGAUGAGAAUCUAACUCACGACUAUGGAGACGUUGAGGACCCAUCUGUACUAUGGCAAGCCUUGAAAGACAGAUUCGAUAAUCAAAAGGAAAUCAAUCUCCCUCACGCUCUUGAAGAGUGGAAAACCCUGAGGUUUCAGGAUUUCCAAAGGGUUAGAGAUUACAAUUCCACUAUCUUGAGGAUAGUUGCACAAUUAAAAUAUUGUGGUAACCCUGUCACCGAAGCAGAAAUGCUUGACAAGACAUACAAUACCUUCCACAAAGAACACAACGUCUUAUCCCGAAUUUACAGAAAAUGUGGGUACACCAAAUUUUCUGAAUUGAUGGUAACACUCAUGUUGGCUGAAAAGAACGAUGAGUUACUAAUCAAAAACCAUAAUUCCCGACCCACGGGAGCCAAGGCAUUUCCCGAAGUGAAUGCUACGGCGGUAGAAUAUUCGGGAAGGAGAAACCAUACCAAUCGAGGUCGUGGUCGGCGUUUCAACAACAAACGUGGAAAGCCUUACUAUCCUAAAAGUAUUAGAUCUAACAAAUGGGUUAGAUCUGAACAACCUCAUAAAGGCAAAGAAACCGAAGAGGAUACCACAAAGAAAAGUGAGACUGUAUGUUACAGAUGUGGAUGUAAAGGACAUUGGUCCCGUACCUGUCGUACUCCCCCACAUUUGUGCAAGUUAUAUCAAGAAUCCAUAAAAGGAAAGGCUAAAGAGGUGAACCUCACGGAAAACGUUGAAGGGACCUCAUACCUUGAAUCCUCUGAUUUCGCAAAUGAGCUGGACUAGAAUACUCUUGAAGAGUACGGAAAUGUUUCUAAUAAGACUGCUGAAUAGUCCUCAUUUGUAAUGUAUAAUAAUUAUGUUUUCAAAGAAUAAUGUUGUUUUAACAACAAUAUUUGUAUAAUUAUUGUGUGUUUUCUUUAUAUAAUCAAUGAAUAAAUUUCACGUUUCACUUUUAUUUAAUGUUUAUGAUAAUUUCAGAAAUGGAUCAAAAUACUAAUGGAGCAAAAUCCAAGAAACGGAUUCGUGAAAUAUGCAUACCAGAUAGUGGAACAACGCACACUAUUCUGAGACAAAAGAGAUAUUUCUCUGAUAUAAAACCGACAAGAAUUGUCGUCAAUACAAUAUCAGGUCCUGCAGACGUGAUUGAAGGAACUGGUAAAGCAAACUUUACUUUGCCGAAUGGAACAAAAUUUUCCAUAAAUAAUGCUUUAUACUCUCCGAGUUCUAAAAGGAAUUUGUUGAGUUUUAAAGACAUAUAUCUUCACGGAUAUGAUACUCAGUCUGCAACUGAGGAUGGAAAGAAAUACAUGUAUGUAAUUUCUGAAAAAUGUGGCAGAAAACACAUAUUGGAAAAGUUUCCAGAACUUCCUUCGGGAUUACAUCAUACUUAUAUCGAUGAGAUCGAAUCAAAUCUUGUAGUAAAACGGAACCCAGAAGAGUUCACGUUAUGGCAUGAUCGCCUUGGCCACCCAGGCACUACAAUGAUGCGUAAAAUCAUAGAAAGUUCACAUGGUCAUCCAUUGAAAAUCCAGGAGAUUUCUCAAGGGAAUAAAAUGACAUGUGUUGCAUGUUCUCUAGAAAAAUUGAUCGUAAGGCCAUCGCCAACCAAAAUCGAUAAAGAAUCACCAAAGUUCCUUGAAAGAAUUCAAGGUGAUAUAUGUGGACCGAUACAUCCACCAUGUGGACCAUUCCACUAUUUUAUGGUAUUAAUUGACGCAUCCAGUAGAUGGUCACACGUUUGUCUAUUAUCAUCUCGAAAUGUGACAUUUGCGAGAUUUCUAACUCAGAUAAUCAAACUGCGAGCACAGUUUCCUGAUUAUACUAUUAAAAGAGUUAGACUAGACAACGCUGGUGAAUUCACAUCCCAAGCAUUCAAUGACUAUUGUAUGGUAAUGGGAAUUGAAGUUGAACAUUCGGUUGCUCAUGUUCAUACGCAAAAUGGUUUGGCUGAAUCUUUAAUUAAGCGUCUGCAAUUGAUUGCAAGACCAUUGAUCAUGAGAUCAAAACUUCCAACCUCUGUAUGGGGACAUGCCAUUUUGCAUGCAGAAGCACUCAUUCGGAUCAGACCGAGUGCAUACCAUAAGUAUUCUCCACUACAGUUAGCGUUUGGUCGAGAACCAAACAUUUCCCACUUUAGAAUCUUUGGUUGUGCGGUAUAUGUGCCUGUAGCACCACCACAACGAACAAAGAUGGGACCACAAAGAAGGUUGGGAAUAUAUGUUGGUUGUGAUUCUCCAUCAAUUAUAAGAUACCUAGAACCACAGACUGGUGACGUCUUUACAGCACGUUUUGCUGAUUGUCAUUUUGACGAAAAUGUAUUCCCAGUUCUAGGGGGAGAAAACAAAAAUGUUGGAAGUGAUAUAAAAUGGAGUGUACCAUCAUUGUUAUAUCUUGAUCCUCCUUCUAAAGAGUCAGAACUAGAAGUUCGACGAAUUAUGCAUUUACAGAGUAUAGCUAACCAGCUACCUGAUGCAUUUGCAGAUACCAAGACGGUAACUAAAUCUCAUAUACCAGCUGCAAAUGCUCAUGCUCGUAUCAAAAUGCCAAAUGAACAAGAAAAGGAGGAUGACACACGAGAGCCAAAAACACUCCUGAAGCGUGGUAGACCUGCUGGUUCUAAGGAUAAGAAUCCUAGGAAACAGAAGAAAGCUGAAAUAUAUGAUGCACCCAAAAUAGCAGAAAAUAUUUUGGAAGAAAUAAAUGAUAAGGACUCUGAUGAAUCAGAGCAUCAUGAAUCGAAAGAUAAUCAUGUGAUUUCUAUUAAUUACAUCCAUAAUAAAAGGAUAUGGAAUAGAAAUGAACAAAAUGACCUUGAUGAUGCUUUCUCAUAUAUCGUGUCAAGUGAGGUAAAUGAAGAUACCGAUGAUCCAGAACCGAAAUCCAUAUAUGAAUGUCAAAAGAGACAUGAUUGGAAUAAAUGGAAAGAAGCAAUACAAAUCGAACUUGAUUCGCUUAACAAACGAAAAGUGUUUGGAUCUAUUGUACUCACACCUGAAGAUGUGAGACCAGUUGGGUACAGAUGGAUUUUCGUUCGAAAACGAAAUGAGAAAAAUGAGAUUACAAGGUAUAAAGCUCGCCUUGUAGCCCAAGGAUUUUCUCAAAGACCUGGUAUUGAUUAUGAGGAAACAUAUUCUCCUGUAAUGGAUGCGAUCACAUUUAGAUUCCUGAUGAGUCUAGCCGCUGAUAAAAAUCUUGAGAUGCGUCUCAUGGAUGUUGUUACAGCUUAUCUAUACGGAUCAUUAGAUACUGAUAUCUACAUGAAAAUCCCUGAUGGAUUUAAAAUGCCAGAAGCAUUAAGUUCCAAACCUAAAGAGUUAUGUGCAAUAAAAUUGCAAAGAUCAUUAUAUGGGUUAAAACAAUCUGGACGUAUGUGGUACAAUCGUCUCAGUGAACAUUUAACAAAAGAAGGAUAUGUGAAUGAUCCUAUAUGCCCAUGUGUUUUCAUCAAGAAAACAACAUCCGGAUUUGUGAUAAUCGCGGUAUAUGUUGAUGAUCUAAAUAUUAUUGGAACUCAAAAAGAAAUACAAAAGGCAUCAGACUAUCUCAAAGGAGAAUUUGAGAUGAAAGAUCUUGGACAGACACAGUAUUGUCUUGACCUACAAAUAGAACAUUCACAAAAUGGUAUAUUUGUGCAUCAAUCCACAUACACUAAAAGAGUGUUGAAACGAUUUAACAUGGAUAAAUCAACUCCUCUUAGCACCAAUCUGAGGAAAAAGAAGAGAUAUUUGGUAUAUUUGUGCAUCAAUCCCAAUGGUCGUUAGAUCACUUAACAUUGAAAGUGAUCCAUUUCGACCACCUGAGGAAAAAGAAGAGAUAUUUGGUCCGGAAGUACCAUAUCUAAGUGCAAUUGGAGCGUUGAUGUACCUUGCAAAUUGUACACGGCCUGAUAUAUCAUUCACUGUUAAUCUUCUAGCAAGAUUUAGCUCAUCUCCAACACGAAGACAUUGGAAUGGAAUUAAACAUGUCUUUCGUUACCUACAAGGGACUAUUGAUUUAGGCUUAUUUUACCCUAAAUAUUCAAAUGGUCAAAUGGUUGGUUUUGCAGAUGCAGGAUAUCUUUCAGAUCCACACAAAGCCCGAUCGCAAACAGGAUAUGUUUUUACGAUCGGAGGCACUGCUAUAUCUUGGCGUUCUCAGAAACAAACGCUUGUGGCUACCUCUUCAAAUCAUGCUGAGAUCAUCGCACUCCAUGAAGCAAGUAAAGAAUGUGUAUGGCUAAGAUCAAUAAGCCAACACAUUUGUUCAAGUAGUGGGAUUGACAAAAGUACGGGGCCAACUAUUCUAUAUGAAGACAAUGCAGCAUGUGUUGCUCAAACGAAGGAAGGAUAUAUCAAAAGUGAUAGAACAAAACAUAUACAUCCAAAGUUCUUCUCAUACACUCAAGAGCUUGAGAAGAAGAAAGAGAUUGAAGUAAGAUAUGUCCGAUCAUGCAACAAUGCAGCCGACCUCUUCACAAAAUCACUCCCUACUUCGGUAUUCAGAAAACAUGUCCAUAACAUUGGAAUGCGUCAUCAGAAGGAUCUAUGACUGCUCAAUCGAGGGGGAGCUUACGUAGUUGUACUCUUUUUACCUAACUAUGGUUUUUCCCAUUGGGUUUUCCUAGAAAGGUUUUUAACGAGGCAACAAAGACGUUAAGCGAGAGCGGAGAGUGACACCGGUCCCCAAGGAGAGUGUUACGAAACUUAAUACAAGAUGGAUGAUCAAGGGGGAGUGUUAUAAGAUAAACUUUGAAAUGAUCCUCCACUCCUUUACCAACUCAAGCACUAUGAUCAUCUACUCAUCAAGCACUAUGAUCACCCACUCAUUUACCAAAUCAAGCACCAUCUUUGAUAUUUUAUGUAUUGUUGCUCACUAUAAAUACCAUCACUCAUCUCACUCUUUUGUACACAAUUACAUCUUCUUCUUCUUCCUUAUAAUAAACUCUUUCUCUCAUAUUAAGUGUUAUUUGCUUCCUACGGGUAUUGAAUUCUACUCUUAUUUAAAUUUCCCGAUACUAUAAAUUAUAAGUUAUUUCAUAACAUUAUCUUUUUUUUUAAACUAAUUUUUGUCUUCUUAAUGGUGGAUAAUUUACACUAGAGAAAUAUUACGAUUUUACAACCAACUUUUGCCACAUACUUCCCGGGGUGGUCUUGGGACUUGAGGUGCUACCUUGAAUCACAGCCAGAUUUGUAUGACCCGAUCCCAGCCGACUAGGCCGCGGUCGAUGCCUCACGUCGCUCGGUCCAUACCCUGACCGAACCUCUUAAAAUUAUUGCCCUUUAUUUAAAACAUCACCCAUAGACGAGGGCUAACUCAGAUCUUAGCUCAAGACUACCAUAGUCUUUCUUAGCUUACAUCAAUACAACACAUACGCAGCGGAAUAACAUCUAUCAUCCAUUGGUCUAUAACCAAUCUAAUACUCGUCCUGUCGAAUCACCUCAGCUAAUGGUUAGUACUCUCAACUACCAGUUAGCUCAAAGGUCGAUCUUAGACCCGAAUCAAGUCAUACGAAUCUGAGGUUCCAUUCCCCUAGUCCAUUCUAUCUAGAACUAAGCAAGAGUUACUAGAUCAUACCUUAGCCACAUCCACAGAGUUUGUUAGCUCAUCGGCCCAGCUGCUCUAGCUGAAUGAACUCGUAAACCAGCUGAUCGAGCUGUCACACUCGAACUGAGCUAAGACCGAGCUAUGGCCAACUGCCAUAUACUGCGUCCAGCUCCUUUACACAUAAAACAACUCCCCUAGGUACUUAGUCAUUCAACCAACCAUCCCCAUAGACCAAGUAACCUUUGGGAAGUCUUCAAGCAGCUAAGGAUGUGCAUUCAGCCAUUCCCGACUCAUGCAUCAUCCAACACCCUUAGCUUAUCAGCUUAUGAUAUCAAGUCCAGCUUAUGGACUAACAAUGCCAAGUCCUCUCAUGGACUAAUCAUACCAAGUCUUCACAAGGACUAAUAAUAUCAAGUCCUCUCGUGGACUAAUAAUGUCAAGUCCUCUCGUGGACUAAUAAUGAUUGUCAAGUCCUCUGAUGGACUAAUAAUGCCCAUCAGACUCUAAGUCAAUCAACCAACCAUCCCACAUGACUCAGAACCGACAAGUCUUCACACAUACUCAACCGGCCAUGGAACCUUGUCCCAACGGAGCCGAUCAGUCUUGCUCUAACAUCUGGUGCAUCCUUUGAUCAAUCAUAGCAGACACCUUAUUCCAUCACCAAUGGAUCAGGUCGUCCAUCCUUGCCCAAGAUCAGAUAACACACGGCUCAGUACUUAUGGACCACACCACCAAGUACUAGCAAUACUCUUCUUUAUGGCUCUUAGCCAUUGUUUUGCACAUAGCUUACCAAUACCAAGGUUGAUAACUAACAUUCCUUAUGAUCAAUGAUCAUAAGUGACAAACAUAUCACAACACACAAGCAUAUGAUCAAAUAACCUAACACAAGGAUCUAUCAUUGCAUGGUUGGUUCCUUAUCUAAACAUCAAGUUACUCAUCAGGCCCAAAUCUGGCCGAUUUCAAAAGUGAUCUAAAAAUUAAUUAAAAUUCACUAAAACCCAUGAUAAAUACCAACUAAGAGAUCCUCAUAAUCAGAAUCCAAUGAAUCGACCCGGAUCAUAUGGAUCCUGACCAUGAACAGCCCGGCUAAGGUCAUGGGCAUCAUUCCUGAACCGGCGAAGGCCAUGGUUCAGUGCAAUCAAGUCUGAACCCACAGACUACACCAUAAUCAUUCAGAAUAUAUGGUCUUCAAGGGGCGUGUCAUACUUGGCCUGGAUCGCACCACAAGAGACAGAAAUAUAAACUGAAAAGUAAUCAUAAAAUCGGUUACCUUAUACAAGAUAUGAUUAGAUCAUGUGCCUUCCCUUAUCAUGGACGGCCAUGCUCCUCCAGGGCACGCCUCCAUCAUUGUCUUAUCACAUAUCUCCAGUAUUGAUAAUAUCUAUUCAAGGGUCGCACCAACUUCCCAUCCAUGGAACUUCCAUGAAACCAGUUUCUACACUGCAUCCGCCUUCAAGGAUGUUCAUGCCAUUGAGAGUGGAGUCCGGCCUUCUCCCUUCCCUCCUGACCAUUUGCGUGUGUUCCCAGGACACAGAGGAAGCCUAGGACGUGAUCAUCCAUGAUCAAUCACCAUCAAAGGGUCGUUCUCAACUCCCCUUGUGAUUGCCCACAAAACUGCCUCUUUUCUGCCUUCACACCACUCUUGAUCUUGGAUGGAGCAAUCCGACUCUCUCUCUCUUUUACUCUGGUUUUCUUUGUGUUUCAGGGUGUAGAAGGAAGCCCUGGUGUGCCUGCAAAGGCACGGACUUGCCUUCCUUAUAUAGGAGAAGGGGUGGUUACUUUUUAACCAUUGCAUCCCUUCGGUAUCAUUUCUGGCCAUUGAUUUAAUCAAUGGACCAGAUCACACCCCUUCGCCUAUGGCAGUUACCAUACGUCCUGGAACUGUCAAACCACUCCUGGACAUGUCCAAAACAAGCUCACACGGAUUGCCCAUGCCCAUGGCCUGACCAGAAGAGCCCACCGGCCCAUAGCCAUCCUUGGCCAACCAACCGGCCCGGUAACCGCCCAGAACUGUCACACUGGUCCGAGCUUCCAACACUCCAUCCAGCUGAGUUGAGCUGACUCCCAGCUGACCCACCUGAGGGAGCUAGUAGUCCAGCUAGCUGAGCUGGCUGAACUUGAUGUGAGAUACACUGAGCUUGUCCGAGCUUCGCCCAGCUGACCGAGCUUCAUUCUCGCAUCGUCCAGCUGUCUUAUCACUCGUCCAGCUUGCUCUCUUCAUCUUAUUCAAUUCCCAAUAAGUCCCUUGGUGUAUUUCUAGACCUAGACUUGGUUUUCUCAUGAUCCAUCCUGAUCAUUCACUUCAUUACAACCUGUUCACGAUCAAUUCCCAUGAUCUGAACCAAAGCAGUCCCGUUUCUGUUGAAACGUCUAUGUCCCAUGUCAAAUUCCAGGAACGGAGACAUGAAAAGAUUACUUGACUGCAGAGCACCAUCCUCACGAUGAUCUGGAACUUGAAUACUCAGGCCAUUCACCGCAACGUUGGACCUGGUUUUGUGCUUAUGUCUGACAACAUAAAAACUUCAUGACAUCCAGUUUGGUUAAAUAAAGCACAAUAAAACUCACAACGAAGAAAAAUAUACUAAUUAAUAUUUGUAUUGAAUUUAAUAAUUUGUAUAAAUACAAUACUAAAAAAUAUAAUUUGUUUGAUAUAUAUAUAUAUAUAUAUAUAUAUAUAUAUAUAUAUAUAUAUAUAUGCGCACACACANNNNNNNNNNNNNNNNNNNNNNNNNNNNNNNNNUAUUUAUAUAUAUAUAUAUAUAUAUAUAUAUAUAUAUAUAUAUAUAUAUAUAUAUAUUAGUCCGCACAAGAUCGGACAUCACCUAGUUCAAUUUAAACAAUUCUUUUUGCUUAUGGUUCAACUUAAACAACUAUUUUGCAUCACCUAGUUCAACUUAAAUAACUACUUUUGCUUAUGGUUGUAAGUGUAAAAUCAUCGUCUCUCAAUUUUCUAAUAACAUAUAAAAUGCAAAUUAAAAACUUGAUUAUGCAGGAAAAAAUGAUGGAGAUGAUCGUUUAUUAAGGAAGUGCAUAUAGAUUUAGGGACCUAGAGAACCAAGAGGAACAGUGGAUGGAAAUCUUUCGGGUAGAAGUUGAUCAUGUCUAUCCAGGUUUCAAUGCAACAAACUCUCGAUUCAAACUAUCUACUACGCCGGAUACUAAAGUCAACAUCAUCGAUCCUCUAAACAAUCAUCAUUACAUGGAAUUCAAGUGUAUUCAUGAUAUCCCCCACAUUAUGAACAUAAACUAUCCCAUAAGUACUAAUGCUAACUACUAAAAUAUAUUUCAUAUAAUGUUUAUGUAAGUAACGUAAUCGAAAACACUUAUCUUGUAGAUAUAAUGGGAGUGGUCUUCAACAUAAAAGCCCAUUUCUAUUACCCUACAACGCCAAAGAUGGUGUUUCACAUAAGGGACAACAUGUAAGUACAAAGUAACAUACGAUCACAUCACGGCCAAAUGUUUACAUUAGUGUAAUUGACACAAAUUGUUUUAUUCAUAAUAGCGAGAGUAAUAUAAAAUGUGUGGCAACUGGCGAUCAUGCUUAUGCUUCCAGGAUGGGUUUGAAAACAUGAGGGGUCGUGGAGAGGUGAUUGUGGUCCUCAAGAUGUGGAGAAUCUGGAGGUUUAUAUGUAAGUGUAUAUGAUUUUAUGUGUUUAGUUUUAAAUGUAUUAGUUGAGUAAAACGUUUCCUAAACUCAUAUAUACAUGAUAUUUUGAUGAUGAUGAUCUAUGGCUUGAGACCGAAGGUGGAUUAUUUGACUUCAGGUCCAACCCAUGUUUGCCGGAGGUUGAGGAGUCCAGGCAAUCGCUACUUAACACUGACCCUUAUGUUCGGAGACACGGGGCUAUAAGGACUUUGUAAAACUUGGUGUUCUCUAUGUUUUUUUUGUGUGUUUUAUUUGAAUAUAUUUUUUACUCUUAAAAUAAAACUGUAGUGAAAUCUAAAUCAUUAUCUUUGUUGGGCCGGAUUUCAAAUCUUAUGUGAUUACAUUAACUUAUUUUUUUGGUUCAAGAUGUGUAAUCAUAUGAUACAUUAAGAAUAAUAGUCAAUGGCUCAAACUUGUAUUAUAGCAUUAAACUUUUAGUGAGAUGGAAAGAUACAUAUCGAUUGAGAGAGAAUUACGAUUUACUUAUAUACUAAUAAUAUCGAUUGAGAGAGAGUUACGAUAUACUUAUAUACUAAUAAUAAUAUUUAUAUAUGUAACUAGGGCCGGCCCGCCCUACGAGCCGGAUUAUUUUUAAAAAAUUAUGUAAAUAGUUAGAGUAAAUAUUCAAUACAAAUUAUUAUAUUUUAAAAUAUACAUAUUAGUUAAACUCUGUAUAUGUUAUUGUAUUUGAAGAUUAAAUAUACCAUGCCGUAUUGAUAAGCAAUUUUUUUCAUGGUGCCAUCACAUAAUUUUUAGUAGUUUUCUGGAGUUGGAUGAAUCUAAAGAGUACCGUGAGAAAAAAGACGAACUUGUAAUUAUAGAUUAAGUGAACAUUUGAGUAAUUUUUUUUAUUAGGUCGGUUAAUUAUUAGUUGUGUAAACCGGAAACAAUAAUAUUAAAGUAUCGUAUCUUGACAUGUUGGACAGCUUAAAUUUGAUAAGUUUGGAUUAUCAUUUUUUUUUCGUACUCAAUAUAUAUUAUGUGUUGAACUUGAAAAAGUGACUAUAAAUUAAUAAGCUGUUAAAUUCUCCCUGAAAAUUUGUGAUUGAUGUUUAGAUAGUUAUAACAUAAUACAAAAGAACACAAAAUCGUACGGAAAAUAUUUAACAACUAAAUAUUUAUUAUAUUAAACUAAAUAACUAUUCAAAAUUUGAUCUAAAUAUAUGCAUUGUAUUUUUAAUAUCAAUUUUAAUUGGUAAAACAAUCACCCGUUUCAAUUUUUUUAUCUAGAUAUAUAUAUAUAUAUAUAUUGUUUUCCAUCGAAAUAUACGAAUGACUAUUUCUAAUUAACAAUAAAUAUUUAUAAAAAAUAUGCAAUCUAUUUUUUUUUUAAAUACUACUAUUAUUUUUUUUAGUUAUAAGUAUGUUUGAUUAGUUUUUGUUGUAUGGAUAAUAUUUUAUGAGGUUAUGUUAUGCACCAGUUGUGUCGACUUAUUUGAAAUAUAUUUAUUUUAUUUGCUGUGUAAAUACGGUAGUAAAUACAUAUUAGGGACUUUGUAUAUGAAGCCAAUUAUUUAAGUAAUAGGGUCAGUUUUAAUAGGAUGUUUUUUCAUCAGAACUGGAAAUGUAAAACUGCAAGAUAAGUUAGAGUCAUAUGUCGAACAUGAAUCUGUUUUCAUGAAAGAGCAUAAUAUUAUUGAGUCAUGGGCCAUUAAUCGAUUUUGGAUGUUUUUAGUUUUGGUUAUGCUCUGAUACCAUGACAAAUCUUAGUUUGGGAUCAAAGUUAACUUGAAUAUUAUUGAGAAUGAAGCUUGGUAUUUAUACCAAGAGAAGUAAUUCGAAAACAGGAAAACUUAAAGCCAAAGCUAUCUAGAAAAAUAAUAGAAAACCUUAUCUAAAUCAUAUUCAUAUGAUUCCUAAUUCACAUAGAAAUCCUACUCCAGUAGAAUACAUACAGUACUAUGUUUAGCCAUAUCCAUUUCUUGCUUGCUGGUGCAGACAGAAAGAAUUACAUAAAAUGGUUUUCAAUAGAAUCAAAGCAGAGAUGGAGCAAGUAAGAAGACUACAACACUGUUAGAUUCACUGCUCAAUUUUUAUAAAAAGAUAACUUGGGAGAAUUAAUCUAAAACAGUGUUAUAGACCAGAUCGUCAGAUUCAAGCACAUGUAAAUGUAAAAGGCCACACUUUUAUAGAAUCAUGUAGAUGGGGGUCAUAGAACCAGUUAUGACAGUCUAUAGAUGACAAUCAGUUUACCAUUAGGAUCCAAAAUUUCAUUACAGCCUUGACCACAAAGGAAUCCAUAAGUUGGUACGAUAUUAUUGACGGAUAAAGAAACAUUCUGUCAUGGGAACAUAAGAAACCAUAUUAAUCUUUCGGAGAGAAAAAUGCUAGCAAUAAUCAAUGUUUGUAUUUUUUAAAAACUUGUGAAACCAUAUUAUAUUUGAUGCAGAACCUGUUAGCCAAUGCUUCUACAACACCAUAUGCCCAGCAGGAACUACAGUGACCAUAAACAAACCAAAAAUGUUUUCAUUGAUCUGAGAAGGCACUUUUGAAUAUAAAAACCAAGCAGACGAAGUUAGCUGGUCUUUAAUGUGAUAAUCAAUGAGAUAAUUAGAUACAUGACAUAAGAAGAGUCAGUAUAUCAUCUUUUGAAGACAAUGAAAUAAAGACAUAGGUAUCGAAGUUAAGAUUGACCUAGGAUCGAUCCUUCAAAUUGCACUGUGACCAAGCGGUUCUAGCAUCAACAUCUUUUGGACUUGAGAGUUCAGUCAUGGAUUGCAACAGGAGAGUAUAAACUCUGCAACCUGCACGUACCAGCAAAAAAAGAGUGGUCAAAUUUCUAGCAUUGAAUAAUAAACAUUAAAGAACAGGAAUUUGUCUAUAGUCAGCAAAUAAUGAUAUUAUUCAUGACUAGGGGUUGGUCCGUCCUACGGGCGGGUGAGUUUACAAUAAAUUUAUUUAAUAUUCAAAUUUAUUUGAUUUUAUAGAAUAUUUAAUAAUUUCUUUAAACUGAACAUGGUAAUUUUUUUUUGAAGAUCAUAUUGUAAAUUAAAUUUAAUUUUGUUGGUUUUAGUUGAAAGAACUACUAACGUUCUUUUUAUGUGAAAACAAAAAGUAAAAAAAUGUAAUGAUUUAUAUAUAUUUUUUUUUUUCACUUUGAUAUAGUUGAAGAAAUCUAAAGUAAGAAUAAUUAAUAUAUUUUUUCUAAGAAUUUAAAAUUAUAAUAUUAUUUGGCUUGAAGUUGUUGGAUUGUUGUGUAUUGAACAUUGUUGUUGCAUGUUGGUCAUUUAUGGUUUGUUUGUUGUUGUUAUUAUAUGAAUGUUUUGUGUUUUUUUUUUGUAAUUUAUACAUGGAUGCGUAGUUUUAUGUUCUUGUGGAGGGUGUGAUGUUUAUUUAAUUGGUUUAGUGGUGGGCAUGCACGAUCUUCAGAUUCUGAUCUGAAUCAAAUCUUCCAUGACCGACAAGUGGUAGAGGAGAGCUUAGUUUACUAAAUUAUAUACGCAUAGGAUCCAAAAGUUCCACAACAGACAACUCCUAGAUCUCGGCAACAAACCUCUUCCUCUACAAAAAGUUCCCCAACUGCAAGUUCUGCUUUUAUUAAAACAGGUCAAUUUAACGCUCACCAACAACUCUCUUGACGCGUCUAACAGCUACCCGGUUGAAAAAAUAUAUACGUCCAAGCCCAUAUGUAUGGUUUUAUUAAUAAAUAUUGGCUUUUUGUUGUUGUUAUUUUGUUAAGUUUGUGUUUGCUGAUUUAUGUAUUUGUCGUCUGAAGUUUAUGGUUUGCUUUCACAGGCAGAUUGGAGGCGUUGCGUUGUUUAUAUGGACAUGUAUUUGGUUAACGCUUUGAUAACGAUGUAGCUGUAGUUGUGCGUGAUGUUUUUCCUUUUGGGUAGUAAUUGUGUUGGCUUUGGAUUGUUUAUGUUUGGCGUGUGUCUUUCUGGGUUGGUUUGCUGCAUAAAUUUAAAUUGUGGAUGUUAGUUAUGACUUUCGUCCAUUUUUGUAUUUUCUUUGACUUGUUUUGGUUUCUUUUCAUAUUUGAAGUUUUGUGUUCGUUUUGGUGUGUACAUUUAUGUACCCAAAUAGAUAUCGAAUUUCACUUAGGAUUCAAAGGUUUAGAGAAUUUUGUUUAAAACUUUAACAAAGAUUUUAUGGCAUCUAAUUUUUUGUCAUAAAAUUGUUGUAACUCUAUUUUCUGAAUAGUCGUAUAUUGAUAAAACUGGUACCAUGAUAAUAGUCUCCUAAAGCGGUACAAAAUAAACGUUUUGCACUCCAUUCUAUCUUACAAAGGUGAAAAACAUGUUAGAGAUAAAUCAAAUAGUGUGUUGUACAUAUCAGAGACGCCACUUGCAGUAAGUGAACCAACGAAAGAACACGCACUGUCCACAUGCUCUACACACACACACACACACUAAUUCACAACAAAACACCAAUUCACAUCGUGAAGGUGACUUUCUUGUCUAAGCAGUCAACUCAUCAUGUGGCCAAUCAAAACAGUCUCUCAGUCUCUCAUUCUUCCUUCAUCGUAUAAGCAUGCAGUGCACUGAAUCAAACACCAUAACCUAUAAGGUCAGUCUAUAUAAACAAAGGUUACAUGUCCAGUGUCUUAUCAAACACCAGACCAGAACUCAUCAGCCAUGGCUUCACAUUCUUCCCUCCUUCUCAUUUUAGUCGUUUCUUGCUUCGUCUCUCUUAUCUCAUCAGCGAUUCCACAAAAUUUCUUUACACAAAACGUACGCUCCG